rnacentral:lncRNA from 1 species
UGCCUUAUUGUUGUGGCUGUCAAGAAUCACUGGCCUCUGUUUCAACUUGAUGUCAAUAAUGCUUUUCUCCAUGGGGAUUUGGAUGAGGAAGUCUAUAUGAAACUUCCCCCCAGGUUUGACAGUUUCUACCCCUCUUUCUGGUUCUGUUUCUCCUCCAUCUUCUACUUCUUCUCUUCUGGUUUGUAAGCUCAAGAAAUCCCUAUAUGGGCUGAGACAAGCAUCCAGACAAUGGUAUGCCCUGGGACCCUUGUUGUUGUGGCAGUCUAUGUGUAUGAUAUUAAUAUUACUGGGGAUGACAGUGAUGAAAUUACUGCCCUUAAACUGUUUCUGGAUAAUCAGUUUAAAAUCAAAGACCUAGGGUCUUUGCAUUAUUUUUUGGGCCUUGAAAUGUCAGCUGUUCCUGGUGGAAUGAUCCUUAAUCAGCAUAAGUAUAUUUCUGAUUUAUUGCAUCAGUUUGAUUGUGCAAAUGUAUCCUCUGUUGUUUGUCCUUUGGAUAUUAAUGUCAAACUUCAUGCUGAUUCUGGUGACCUUUUUUCUUCUCCUGAUCAAUAUAGCAGACUUGUUGGUAAGCUGUUAUUUCUGACUCAUACUAGGCCUGACAUAUGCUUUGUUGUUCAACAUCUGAGUCAAUUCCUAAAAUGCCCCAGACUUCCACAUAUGACUGCUGCCCUGCAUGUUUGAGAUACCUUAAAGGCACUCCUUCUAUGGGUCUAUUUUAUUCUGUCAGUGCUGAUUUCUCUGUUGUUGGUUAUUCUGAUAGUGACUGGGCUGCAUGCCCUGAUACUAGGAGNNNNNNNNNUAUGGGUCUAUUUUAUUCUGCCAGUGCUGAUUUCUCUGUUGUUGGUUAUUCUGAUAGUGACUGGGCUGCCUGCCCUGAUACUAGGAGAUCUGUUACUGGUUUUUGUGUGCUUUUGGGUGGUUGCCUGAUUAGUUGGAAAUCUAAGAAGCAACCUGUUGUUUCUUUGUCUUCUGCUGAAGCAGAAUAUAGAGCCCUCAGCAAAUUUGUUGCUGAAUUAUCUUGGCUUUCUCUUUUAUUGGUUGAUCUUGGGGUAUCUGUUUCUCUUCCUUUUUUGCGUAUUGUGACAGCCAGGCUGCUGUCCAUAUAGCUAACAAUCCUGUUUUUCAUGAGCGUAACAAACACAUCGAGGUGGAUUGCCAUUUUGUUUGGGACCUGCUACACAAUGGUUUUCUCGAGCUGCUUCAUGUCCCUACUUCUCGUCAAUUGGCUGACCUGCUCACUAAGCCAUUGCCUGGCACUGUACUUCAUCCGCUGUUAUCCAAGUUGCAGGUGGUUUCCCUCUCCAACUGAGGGGGUGUUGAGAUGAAAGACUACAUGGCUUCCAAACCCAAGCAUAAAUAAUUGUAUACACUGUAUAUACAUUAUAUAUUUAUUGUAUUUUCUGGUAUACAUUGUAUAUGUGGUAGUUGGGCUAUGAUGAUUUUUUGAUUUGGUUGUAAAUAGUCUGAGCCCGUUUCAUUUUUGUUCUUGGGCCGUUUGACCCGACCCAAGAGUGAUUGUAUAUAUGUCACAUUUACAGAUAUUUUAUAACAGGGGUAUUCAUUUGUCUUCUGGCUUUCUCCAGAAGCUUCCGUUUCUCUCUCUGUGUCUCUCACUGUUCAUCUUCAUCUUCUCUGAUUUUCAUCUUCAAAUCUUCAUGUUUUCAGCCCUGCAUCCUCCCCAGGUUAUUGUUGUUUUGCCGUGGGCAUAGGCGAAGUGUUGGGAAUAGAAGAAUCGUAUAUUUUCCCACUUUCGGAUCGGCUGUGGGUCGAAUUCGAAGGGAGGAUUUUAUGAGAUUUUGAGGAUAGAGAAUGUAGAUUUUUCUUUCAUAGUCCUCCUUCUGAUCAAAGACCUUUAUUACGUCGAGGCAUGCACAAAUUGGAGAAGUCUCUCUAUUGUAAACCAUUGCUAUUGUGACUUCUUGUUGAUACUCUUGAUCUUGUGUGACUGGAUUGGGAGCAGGGGGUGGGGACAGUGGUGGGGAGUAUGGAGGAGGUGUGAUGGGUUCCAUCAUUAAAGGAGGAUGUUUGAGAAGUUCGUAAGGCUGCAUCCAAGGGGUUGAGGAAACUAUAGGUGAUAGAAUGGCAUGUGAAUGAGACUGGGAUAGAGAUGAGUUAGGUCUCAAGUAGAUAAUGGUGGGUUGAGUGGUUGAUAUGGUGCAAGUUAUGAUGCUUGUAUCAUAGACCAGUGGUACCUUCCAUAGAUUUUCGUUCCCAUGCGCAUACCCUCCGUGAUAAUUUGUGCAAGAUCCCUAGGGUUGUUGAUCAAGAUUGUCACUUAUUAGUUGUUAACCUCCACUGUGAAUGUGAGAGCGUGAUUUUGAAGACCUACCUCUAGCCAAGAGGUUGGGUUUGUCGUUUCAUGGGGAGUUUGGGUAGUGAAUAUGAUGAUGUUUGGCUCCAUGAUUAGCUGUAGGGGAGGUAUUGAGUGAGGUGUUUGUUGGUGAGUGAGAUGAUAGAUAAGCUGCCUUGUUUGUGCUGGUAUACGUCUGUGAAUGAAGUGGUUUGGAUUCAUCGUGUGUUAUAAAAAUCGAGGAAGGAUUUAGUAGGAGAGGACGUGAGGGAUUGAGUGUUGGCGAGGAAGUAAGAAUUAUAUGAAUAGUGCUUUGUGCCGGCAGGGAAUGAUGGUGUUGUAUCUGAGAUUCGGAUUUUGGUAGAUUUUGUGUGUUACUUGGGUUUGGAGAUUCAUCAUGUUUUGAUUGCAUGGGAACUGUUUGUGUUUUGCUUUGUUGAGAAGGAAAAGGCUGAUUGGUAUUAGGGAUUGUGUUGAUAGGGUCUAGGUUUGAUAGCAUUGGUAAGUGGAGUUUGCUGGAUAUGUGAGAGUGUUCCUGCAUGGCAGGUGGUAGUAUAGGAUUGUGCAAGUAGUCUGCAUGAAGAGAUAUAGACGUGUAGGAUUUGUGAGUUAAUUAGUGUAAUGUUCUGAUAGAACUAGGGUGUAGUGUAGUAGUGGAAAUUAUUUAAUUGUUUUUGUUAUGGGUGUCAUUUAAACUUUUAAAGUUAUUUAGAUCACUAGUUGUUAAUGAUUGGAAUUUAUAAGAUGCAUAAUUAGUGGUAUUUAAUUCCUGAGUUAUAGCUUUUUUCUUUUAUUAGUAUUAUUAAUGGAAAGAUUAAGAAAAUUCACGUGAUUAGGGUUAGUAGACUUACCUGCUACUGGGUGAGGCGGCGGAGAGUUAUCAUUCAACGGGAUGAAUGUUGGUCUAACGGCGCGUGGUUUGAACUGAUUUUUCUUUGGAAAUUGAAUUGUUUUCCACUCAUUUGUUGAUUGUAGGAUUGAAUUAAAAGCGUUAGCAGCAUGAGUUAAAUGGGAUGAGGAAGAAGUAUUUGGUUGAUAUUUUGGUUGCGAAGAGAAGGAACAAAAAAUUUUAUUGCGCCCAAGUCUGCCACAAUUGGUACACAACAUAUGCAAUCCUUCAUAAAGAAUGGUUUACCUAUGGCUUCCAAUAAAAACAUGUGUUUUUAAUGGUUGAUCUAAAGGAACUAUAGCCCUAGCUUACAUCCAUCAAUAGUUAGGAGUUUUUCAAUUUUAUUACCUAUUCGCCAUAAGAUUUGGAAAUCAUAACAUUCAUUCAGGUAGAAGCAACUAAAUUCCAGAGUAUUUGUAGUUUCAUUUCAGAUGAUAUGAAUUUUGGCGUCCAUUGACAAACAUAUAGGAAAUGAUUUAAAAUAAACCAUGGUCCAUGAUGUACAGCACGAUGCAUAUUUUUCUAUUUUUGAAAUUUAAUUAGAAAAAAAUUUGAUCCUAAGCCGAUGAGAGGGAGAUUUUUUGUAGGUUUCUAUUGUGUGUAAAUUUUUUGUCGAAGAUGUUGGUGGCCAAAUUUGCGGCCAAAAACCUUAACGAUGACCGCAUGUUUCCAUGGUGUGUAUAGUCUAUUUUUCUCGUUCGGUAAAAAGGGAUGAAGAGUUCAGGGUUUCCUCGUACUCUGGUUUCAUCAGUUAAAUCGAGGGUGGUCGAUGUGGGGUAGGGUUGAUAAAGAGAGGAAGGAGCCAUAUCAGUUAAAACUAGGGUAUUAAGAUAAGAGGGAGUGGUGACAGUGUUGGGGGAUGGGGAAGUCGGGGUGUCAAUGUUCUUGGCUCCUCGAUUUGUGGUGUGGGGUGGGUGGAGAAGCAGUAGUGGGGAGGGGGAAGGGUGAUUUAUGAUGUAGGAAGUUGUAAGUUUAGUUGUGUAGUAGAGAGCUUUUUGAAAAAUCUUUGAUAAAGUAUCAACAAGACAAUAUUAUUCUUUUCUUUUUUCUAUAAGCCUAUAAAGUCAAGCAUUCAAGGGUAUAAUUGUAAACUUUUUUUUAUUUUAAAAAACGAGAAAAAAAUAUUUUCAAUGAUAUCCUGUACUUUAAUGCAUUGAAUCAAAUAUUUAAUAAGAAACAAUCUUUGUAUUACUGACUUAUAUAUUAUAAAAUUUUGUAUUAUUAAUCCCUACAUUAUAAUCCAUGUGUAUAUUAUUUUUAAACCAAACAACCUUUUAAUGGUUGCAAUAGCUAACUUAAAGUUGAGGACUAAACAUAGUACUAUUCUUGGGAAUGCUAAUUUUCAAGCCACAACAUUCCAUACAAUAAUGUUCUUGCUUGUUGAAGGUUACAGUUUUGUACUUGCUUUGGUUAUUUUUUACUUAUCAUAAUUAUGUUUAUAGGAACAUAUCCAAUAAAGUUAGAAUAUCUAAAAGGAAAAACCCUCAAUAAAAAUAACUAAACAAAAAUAUUAGGCAAGUUUAAGGAGCUGUAUAUAUAUUCUCCAUUUGUAAGCAUAGCGUAUCUAUAUGUAAAUUAUAAUGAUCCUACAUCUCAUAACUGAUUUUGUAUUCUACACCUAUAUUAAAUUCAUUACUUUCAACUUGCAUCAUUUUGAUGAAUAGAUAUGGUUAAAUAAAGUACUCAAAGUUUAGUGCUUAAUUAUAUGUUUUUCUUCGAUAUGACAAAAAUUGUUUUGUCUUUUCUUAUAUUCUUCUAAUUGGGUUGUCGUCAACUAAGAAACAAGGAAAACUCCUCCAAUAUAUAAAGAUAACAUGAAGGUUAUAAAAACUUUAAGAAAACCCUCCGACCACAUCAACAAAGGUGUAGUGGAAGAUUGUUCCCAAACCAAACAUUAUUCAAGCUAAAAUUGGGCGCAUGUACUCCUCUUUGUUGAUCUUUUUUCGCAUUACAUUAUUGUUUAGAAACGAAAACGAAUUUUUAUGGGUUAAUGAUUUUUGUAUAUUUGUAUCGAUUUCUGAUGCAUGGAUUGAUAAAUACUUACUUGCAUAGAUGCUUACACCAAAUUAACCAAACAAUUUAACCUUAAUAUUUAAAAGUUAAAGUGGCAAGCAUAUCAACUAACUUUGAUACUUUGAUAAAUUGUGUACGCAAUAUACAUAUCUUGCAUUUACUAAUUUGAUAUAUAUAAACACUGGUAUGAGUAAGUUUUCGCCGAUAAUUAAGGUAAUAAGCUAUGCACCCAGAUGAAAGAUUUCACGAGAAAGCACAAUUUUUCAUCAAUUGAGGAUUAAUUCAGAGGGUAAUCUCAAUCUCUCUCUCUCUCCAACAGAAACGAGAAAACAGGAAGCCUAUGGGGAGAGUUCAAGAGUCUGCCCGCAGUAAAUAUCAAGAACUAGGUUGUAUUAUAUAUUACUGUAUAUAUUUUUUUUAUCUUUCUAAGAUGGUCAUUUCGUCCCUCUUUACGUUGUGGUGAAUUUAACAGCAUUUUGAUCUAGGUAAUUCUCAAAUACUUCCUAUUAACUCCGGAGCUGGAAAAAUCACUAUAUUUGACUUUGAAUUUGUCCUUCUGAUAUACUCCAUAAAAUCAUAAUGAAAGGAUUGGCAUCUUUUGUUUAUGAUUAUUGGAUUUUGUCGUUGUGUUCACAGUUGACACUUAUUCACAGUCCAACUGAUUUUGGUAAGAAAGCAACAAGAAGCAAUACGUCAAAGCAAGGCAACUAGGAAAGGUUACAAUCUGACAAGACUGGACAGGAAAAGGUUUUGUGCAAGAAAUAGAUUAUUAACCCUAAAACAGCAACCUUCCGUCUUUUAUUGUUGAUUGGCGAAAGAAGAAUAGUACUCUCCCAAUUUACGUGACUGUGCAUAAUUUUUAAUAUUUCCUUCUUCCAAAAAGAAAAUAGGUUCACAUAAAUCGGAAUAUUUAAUAAAUUUAAUUAAAGUAAAUUUUGUAUAGUUUAAUUUUAUUAUGAAGCAUUUUAGUGACGGCUCAAUUAAUUAAUAUGUCUAAACUUGAACCAACCAUUUCACGCUGUGUCAAUUUUGAGCUUUUGAUACAUUAAAGUAGGCAAAAUUUAGUGCGAGUUGAACCUUAAUUCGUUAUUAAAUCAGCCCGAUAUUUAACCGCUCACGUUUCUUUAAUCUCAAACAUCUAAAGUUCUCCCUGUGUCGUAAGGAAUGAUGAUUUGUUGCAUUUUGCAGAUUGUAUGAAUAAACACCCUGUGUGAUAAAAAAUACACUCGAUUUAUUGUUGUACUUAUAUGAUACAUCACAACCCCUUAGUUAUGAAAUCGACCAGUUGGCAAUCAUCAUUAUUAACAUCAUAUAACAUCAAAAAAGGAAAGUUUACUACGACGAUUUGUGGCAGUCUAUAGUAAAGAAAAUUCUACCAUACAUCGAACAGGAUAGAUAUCAUAACUUAGUAAUUACAAAAUGCUAAAUUGUGAGCUUAAUAUAUAAAUUCUUGGAUCUAUCAGCUUCCUCGUGCCAUUUUCAUUUGUUCCCAUGGGCCUUCAUCCCUUCAACAAAAAGAAUAAAGAACAAAAGAUCAAGGGAAACCACUUUCUUAACCAUAUUUAUGAUGAAGACGAAUUAAAGUGCCUGCUUUACCACGUAUUACUUUGGUACUAAAGUAUCAAAAUCAGUUUCAGCAUCAUAAAAUUGGCAUAUUGCAAUGGUAACUAAAAAAAGUAUCUGGACUUGAACACUCCAUUUCUUCUUUUACCUAAAUGAAUCCAGCUCUUCAGUUUUACUUUCUUAAGCUUCAAAUGGCCUGAUGUUUUAGCCCUCGACCAGUGAACAUUGAAAUAAUAAAGUUUAAGGGGUUGUUUGGUUUGAAUACGGCUUAUGCUGGUAUUAGUUAUGCUGGGGAUUAGUUAUACUGAUAUUAGUUAUACUGGUAUUAUUUUUUUAUCCACUGUUUAGUAUGUUGUAUUAAAAAUUUCAAUUGCAUAAUUUCUAAGAAGAAAGGUAUAAGUUAUCCCGGCACUAAUUACCCUACCCCCUAUAAGAUACUUUUUCCGUUCUAAUUUAUGUGAACCUGUUUGACUGGGCAUGAAGUUCAAGAAAAAAUAAAGGCUUCUCAUUAAGGGUAUAAUUGUAAGUUUAAGCUAAAUUAUUUUCAAAUUUAGAAAGAGAUCAUUCCUUUUGGAACAUACCAAAAACAAAUAGGUUCACAUAAACUGAUAUGGACAGAGUAUAAGUUAUCUCGGUACUAAUUUUAAUCCCGGAAUAACUUAUACUUAGAUUGUUAAUCAAAAAAUAUUAAGGUGAUUUAAAACUUUUAUACCAACACUACAUCUACUUAUAUCAUAUACCAAACGACCCCUAAAUUAAAUCUAUACACCGCACUUAGUGUAUAAAAUUGUUACAUUAUCAAGUCAACUUUUUCUAUUGUAAUAUAUAACCUGUAUUAUUUUAAAAAUUACAAAUCUCACAUUUUAAUGAGUUUUACCGGUCGAUAUCCCUAACGGUGUAAAAUAUUCAACAUUUCAACUCGAUAGUAAAUGGAUUAGUGCAUAUAUAAUUACAUUAUGUGAGUGUGUAUCUUAUGCAAAAUAAUGAAGUGCUUUGUUAAAACUGGAAUUAAUCUUACCAAAAGAUGCUGUUGGAGAUAAAGUGGAAACAGAAGGAAGUUCCAUGAGGUCGCUGAGUUGAGAAUACAUAUGGUUGAUGAACUUUAUGGACUCUAAGUGAGGUUCCUCCAUUGCUUCUUUUAGCUUGCUUAGAGCCACACAAUGUGCUUCCUGUCCACCAAAAAGCAAUUUGUUCUUAGCUUAUUACCAAAUAUUAAAGUUCUUACCCAUAAACCUAGUGUGCACACUUAAACGUAGGUAUAUAUACUACUAGUACAAUAUGUGCAUUAAGUAUGUGUGGGUUAGGAUUAGAGUUGAAUUCAGAAUCUGAAUUAGUUAGUGAUUUUAAGAAUAAACGUGAUCUUAUGAUAUUUAUUAAUUUUAAAUCCAUUUAUGCCUCUGUGUGUACAUUAUUUCAAUUAAAAACAUUGAAUUCAUAGAACCUGCUACAUCAAAUAUGUAUAGUAGUGAUAGGGUAAACUAUAAUAGACUAAGAAGAGACAAUAUAGAAUUAACUCAAAGAAAACGAAAGGGAUGUCGCCUGUUGCAGCUUUAUAUGCUUAUAUAUACAUACAUACAAUCAGGGGCGAAGCUACGUCGUUGGCCCAAGGGUUGUCAACUACAACCCAUUCACCGUAAAAUUAUAUUACGUAUAAGGUAAACUUGAUAUUGAUUAAAAAUAGAUUUUAUACACUCUUGCAUAGCCCACUGGCAAAGGGUGCACGGUCAUUGAAUUUCCUAGUUUCGUCCACUGCAUAAAACGACUAUCAAAUUUGGAAAAAAUACAGAAACUUGUUACCAUAAAAAUGUCCAGUUCUGGUUGAUGAAUUUUGAGUGAGCUGAACUUCUCAUCAACAGCAAAGUUAUAGUUCAAUUUUGAUUGAGAUUGAUCCAUUGUGUGUGAGCUACGGUUCUUAUAUUUUGCCUUUGUUUCGGCUCGUUCAAUUUUGUCAAUCUCACUGAUACCCGAACAAACCUGCUAAUGAAAAUAUACUCUACAUGAUUUUCUGUUAACCUUAUGCGGUUCAUAGUAACUAGGUUUUAUAGAUGAAAGCAACACAAGCAUCUUUUACUACCUCUUCAGAAAAAUUAAGUAUUAGAGUAGUAGUACAAUUCAUGCAAACUCAUAUGUAUAGGAUUAUAUAAUAAUAUAAAUACCUUUAAACAGUCAAAGUGAGUGUCAACCAAAAGAUCAUACAAAGAGUGGGAAGAUAUUUGCCUGACUUCUGUUUCUUCUUCCUUCUUAUCUUCUGAUCUAGAACUACAGUAUUCCUUUGCUUCCAGGUGAUAUCCAUCUCCAAAAUUGUCACUUUUUGUCUCCAUCUCCAAUAUGUACAUUUAGAUUACACCAAAAAUGCUAUAGCUACACUCAAUAGUCAAUAGUCCACUUUAUAUAGGUGGAGUUAGUAUACAGAAAGAGUAGGGUUGCUUGAAAUGACUAGUUAUAGUAAAUGGAAAUCAAUAGCUCCAAAUAUUUGGAAGAUACUGAUUGACCCAUGCAUUUCUAUCAGUCAGACAGGCAACACUCCUAUCACAAACAUAGAGAGAGAGAGAGAAUAUGACUUUAUUUCUGCAUUCAUAUUUUUAUCUCUUUUUGCAUAGUCGAAAGGAACAUUUCAUGGGCUUCUUGGAUUCUGGGGACCUUUGAUAAUGUACUUAGUACAACUACGCUAUGAUGAGUCAGUUCUUACUUUGUUUUCCAUGUUACAGCCCCCCCCCCCCCCCNNNNNNNNNNNNNNNNNNNNNNNNNNNNNNNNNNNNNNNNNNNNNNNNNNNNNNNNNNNNNNNNNNNNNNNNNNNNNNNNNNNNNNNNNNNNNNNNNNNNNNNNNNNNNNNNNNNNNNNNNNNNCCCCCCGGGUCCAAUACUGUACUAGUAGCCGUUUGCUCUUUGUUUCUUUCUUGAAUUUAGAGUAGCUUAUCAACAACAACCCCAGUAAUUUCCCACUAAUGUAACAACAACAACAAUUAUUACUAUCCAGUAUAGUCCCACAAAGUAAGGUCUGGGGAGGAUAAAAUGUAGACGAGUCUUACCCCAACCUGAAAGGGCAGAGAGGCUGUUUCUAAUCGACCCUCAGCUCAGUGAAGGAAAGGGAGAAACAAAAACAAAAACAAAAGAGCAUUAGUAAGUCCAGCAAAANNNNNNNNNNNNNNNNNNNNNNNNNNNNNNNNNNNNNNNNNNNNNNNNNNNNNNNNNNNNNNNGCAUUAGUAAGUCCAGCAAAAAUAGCGUAAAUAAUUAUCUAAACAUAAGAACCAUAAAUAAAAUAGCAUGCAAUAGUAUCAUACAGUAACUAUCAUAAGGGAGACACAAUCCAAAACACAAUCAUCUACGGAUAGCCCUUCCAAGCCUCACCCAAUCCCGGUGAGGAGUACGGAAAACUCUAGAGACACCUAUCCUACAACCCUGAUACUAGACCUCCAGACUUUCCUAUCAAGGGUCAUGUCCUCGGAAACCCGUAUACUAGCCAUGUCAUGCCUAAUCACCUCUCCCCAAUAAUUUACCACUAAUGUAUGAAAAGGUUAAAAUGUAUAUGUAAAUUUUUAUCCUACAGUGUAAUUUUUUGGCAAUGUCAAUUGUCUUUCCUUGGAAAAAGAGUGGUGGAGAGGCUUCGCCACUGCUUAUACUAUCGGUAUAAUUUUAUAUUGCAGUACUUUAACUAUUUUAAUGUUUAUGUUACUAAUUUCACAAUCACAAGUGAUUACCAGUGAUUGCUUCUAGGUGCGAUCAAACAGUGUAAAAAAAUUUUACAUUAGAUUUUUUUGUGUAUAGAAGUUAAUUUUUACUUUGAAGGAUGAUAAUGAGAGAGCAUUCAACUUCGUUACUGUGGAGAAACUGUGUGCAAUGUUCUUUUCCAAAAUAUGACUUUGUCAAAGCGUCAUCACUAUUUAUGGAGUAUUAUGAGAAGAAUGUUAUUACCACUGUUCAUUGGUUCACGGGAUCUUGCAGGGUCAUAUUCUUGAACGGGGUCCCAAAUUUGCGGUUGCACAUGAUUUUUUCAGGUUGUAUUGCGACUGUUUCUUCAACAUUAAGUCAUUUGUUCAAACCGCAGGAAAAAUAAAAAAAUAAAAAUCGUUUGUCUGGAAACUAUAUUCCUCUCUAUAUACGUACUGCAAAAUUUGUUGAAUAAUCACUACUCAUUUUAAGUUGGAUAACACAUUUUCCUUAUUAGUUAGUUCAAAAAUGAAUUUGACAUAUUUUUAUAAUUAAAAAUAAUUUAACUUUAAAUUUUUUAUUUGCUCAUUUUAUCUGCUCAUUUUAUCUCAAUGAGAAGUUUUAUAGUCAUACAAAUAUCAUAAUCCUACUAAAAGUACGCGGGGGGAGGGGGGAUGAAUUGUUUAUUUUUAAACUUAAAUAGUUAUCAGUUGACUAGUUUUGCGAUUAAAGACAUAAUUUAAGAUGCAGAAAUUAAGUGCGGGAAUUAAAGACAAUAAAGUUUUUAUACUGGUUUGGAUUCAAUGUGAAUUCUAGCCCAGUCCCCGCGAGUUGAAAGAGAGUUCUUUUUUAGUGAAUGAGUUUCUUCGAGAGUAUAGAGAAUGGUAUGAUCUACACCGAUCGUUUAGUUCCUAUUUCACUCAUUUUUUAUACAAUGCCUCUCUAGUGUUGUUCUCUCUUUCUUCUCUAACUUGUUACACAACAGAUCUAGUAGAGCUACAAUACUUGUUUGUAGUAGAAUAAAGAGAGGGUAUUUGGUUCGAUCAAAGUAUAUGGCUCUAGGGUACAGAUACAAGUUUAAAUACAUUGAGAGAUCCUUGGUUUCUAGAGAGAUUUGACAACCCAAGAGAUUUGAUCAUUGGAGAGAAAUUGAUUCUUUUCAAGAAUAAGGUCAUACAACAACGACUAUAUUUACGAGAGACUUGAAUGAGUUUCCAUAUAUGCUUCCUAAGAUCUUGCACCUUCCAGAUUUGAAUACGCUCGAUUUUAUUUGAUUGCGUAAGUCUAGGCUUGAUUGAUUUCUCUAAUAUCAGAUUGCCUUCCUUGAUUCCUUCAAUCUCGUAGAUGUCCAUUGAUUGCUUAAUCUUUGCUAAUUCCGAAUUGUUUUUCUUAAUUUUCCUGAUUGACUACUUUCAUAUCAUAGCUAACUAUUUAUUCCUUGAUCUUCUCUGAUUGAUUCCUUCAGUCUUUGAAUGAUGUCCGUGAGUUCCUACAAAUAGAACAUGUAUAUUAUUUGCAUUAUUAAAAUCAGAUCUAAUAAUCUCCCCCUUUUUGAUGAUUAUAAAAUAAUAUAUAAGUAUAAACAACAGUUGACUUUCCUGUAUUUUACUCCCCGUCAAUGUAUGCAGUUGAUUGGUCCAUGGUUAUAGUUGCUAUUGUUCUCCCCCUCAAUGUAUGCAGUUGACUGGUCUAAGGUUUUAGUCGACUCUUGCUGUCACGACCCUAACCCCGGUCGUGAUGGUGCCCAACAGACUGCUAGGCAAGCCCGACCAGUUUAAUAACCUUAAUCAUUUUAUACAGCUCAUGAAUUAAUUAACUCAAAUACAUUACUAAGUCAUAAUACUGAAAGCCUGAAAUAGAGUUAAAACAUGCGAAAAACCCAAAUACUAAUACUACUAACAACCUGAAGAAUCUGGUGUCACAAGUCUGAGCCUCUAAUACCUAAGUAUCAAUCUACUACAUAUCAUUCUAAAGGAAUGUGGAAAUAAAGUAAAUAAGGUAAAAGGAAGAUAAGGACUACGGACGUCAUGCAGCUACCUUGAUACUCCCGGAUAAGCUGCUCGACAUAGAGGUCUUCACUUAGCCUUAGAUGUACAUAAAGUUGCACACAAGGUGCAUGGAGUAAUGUGAGUACUCCGACCCAGUGAGUAAUAAACAUAAAUAAAGUUGAGAAUAAGAAUUCUGAAUAGGCACAAAGUAAUUCUAUAAAUACAACAACCUGAACCAAAUAGGAUAAAAUUAGUAAACCAAUAACAACAAUUAUGGAAGUACUACAACAGAUAAGUAAGUAAAUGACAAUCAAGUAUGAAAUGCAAGAUAUAGUCCAGUACUCCCUAAUACCCGCUGCGGUGUGCAGCCCGCUCCCUUUAUUUAUCCUCGACGGCACUCAUUGGGGGUGUGCAGACUCCAAGAGGGGCCCCUUACGGCCCAAGCACAACAUAAGCCAUCUCGUGGCAUCAACCAGUCCCCCGGUCUCACAUCAAUCUCAAUAUAAUACUGUUGCGGAGAGCAGCCCGAUCUCAUGCUCAGUCCAAUAUCACAUAAGCCCCUCGGGAACAAUAAUAUAUAAAUAUUCAUCCUAAACUUCAUUAGAAAUAUUAUUUAAGUUUGAAGUUUGAGAAAAGAUGGUUGAGUAUAAAAAAUAGUAUUAAAUACCAGGACUGAGUUCAAUAAUACGUUAAAAUAGUAAGAAACUAGUAACAACAAUCCCUAAAGGAUUCAAUCAAUUGGCACAAAGCCCAAUCAUAGCGAUCAGCUCAAAUUAUAAUAAUAGUAAUUAAAUUUUAAUUAAAUACGCAGUAUAUUCAUCUACCAGGAUGGACCAAGUCACAAUCCCUAACGGUGCUCUACCCCACGCUCGCUAUCCGACAUGCAAGUCACCUCAAUAUAGCACUACGAUGUGCAAUUUCGGGAUUUCAAACCCUCAGGACGACAUUUACAUCUAUUACUCACCUCAAGCCAGUCAAAAUCCAAGCUCUCUAUGCCCUUGCCUCUCAACUCAACCUCCUCGCGCGUCAAAUAUGAUCAAAACUACAACGAAUACAUCACAAUAUGCCAAUAGAACAAUACCCAAUCGAAAACUAUCGAAAAAUAGCUAAAAUCUCAAAAUUAGCAAAAUCCGAGCCUCAGGCCCACUUCUCGAAUUCCAAAAAGUUUUACACUAAUGGAUUCCUUAACACGCCACGAGUCUAUACAUAUCAAGAACUCUCAAAUCCGAGUUCAAAUAGUCUAUCAAAAUCCAAUUUGAAAUAUCAACUUUCAAGCCCUAGUUCUUCCCUCUUAUUGCUAAGUUUUCAUGAAUUUCUAGGUUGAUUCUACAAUUAAAUCAUAUUUUUAGUUCAUAGAACUCACCUCUAAUCAAUCCCAGUAGAAACCCUCUUCAAUCCCCGUCCAAAAGCUCUCAAACAUCGUCCAAAUCCAAGUGAGAAGUGAGGGUAACGGGCUAAGUUCGAAUUUUUUUAUAACUGGAUACAACCCUCAGAUGUCGCUUGUGCGACAUCUGGUUUGCAAAUGCAACAAUUGCUAGUGCGACCAAACCAUCUGAAUUGCGAUUUGAGCCUCCCCUGCCAAUGUCGCAAAUGCGACACCUUGCUUGAAAAUAUGAACCCUGCCAAGGUCGCAAUUGCAAUAAAACUAUCGCCAAUGUGAACCCUGCAUCAGGCCAGCUCCUUUGCAAAUUGCGAAGCCUCGCUUGCAAAUGCGAUAUCGCAAAUGCGAACCAUUCUCACAUUUGCGUGGCCUGCAACUGCUGCUGCAUUUCCAAGUUUAAAACUUCCUGUUUAGUCAUCCGAAACUCACCCGAGGCCCCCGGGACCUCAACCAAAAGUGUCAACCCAUACUAAGACCUCAUUCGAACUUUCUCCAAUCAUCAAAACACCACAAACAACACCAAAACCAUCAAAUUACAUUGCAUUCAAGCCUAAGUUCUUCUAAAACUUCCGAAACACGCAUUUGAUCAAAAAUCCAACCAAAACACUUCCGAGUGACCUAAAAUUUUGCACACACAUCCCAAAUCACCUACCUAAGCUACUGCAACUCUCAGAAUUCCAUUCUGAUUCUCAGAUCAAAAUCUCACCUACCAACCGGAAUUCGCAAAAAUACUAACUUCGCCAAUUCAAGCCCAAUUCUACACCGGACCUCCAAAAUCACUUCCGAUCACAUUCCUAAGUCAAAAAUAAUCCCCUGAAGCUAACUGAAUCAUCGGAAUUCACAUCUGAGCCUCCUAGCACAUAAGUCAAUGUCCGGUUGACUUUUCCAAAACAAGCCUUCCUUAAAGAGACCAAGUGUCUCAUUUCCUUCUUAAUUCAAUCCAAAUCAACUCGUUCACUCAAAACAAUCAUAAUGAAGCAUAAAGAAGCAGAAAAUGGGGAAAACGGGACAGUAACUCACGUGACGACGGGUCGGUUCGUCACAAGUAAUGUCUCAUUUCCUUCUCAAUUCAAUCCAAAUCAACUCGUUCAUAAAAAACACUCAUAAUGAAACAUAUAGGAGUAAAAGAUAGAGAAAACGGAAUGGUGACUCAUGAGACGACGGUUCGGGUCGUCACAUCCUCCCCAACUUAAACAAACGCUCGUCCUCGAACGUAUCCAGAGUUGUACUAGAAGCCAGCCAAUAGCUGAAUAACUUUACCAUGCAUAUACCCAGGGUUGAUCCCCCGUCACCCUAUCUCACAUAGGUCCUAUUACACAUUGUCACUGAAAGUUCAUAAUCCAACCUAGCCCGUAAGCCUUAGAACCACACUUCCAUUUUCGAAAUCGUACACAAGUCCGCAACCUCCCAUCUAUAUUCAAAACAAGUUCGAACAAGAUGUAAUAACCCAUACCGGCAACCCAAGAUGCAAUUACCUGAUAUUCCACAUAUCUCAAACACAAGCGAUAACUCCCAUUAACACCAGCUGCACACAAGGCUUGAAUACCAGUAGAAAACCUCUUAAAAGCUAAAGUUUCCUUCCAAUAUUUUUACAUAUACUGCAAUCGAUAACUAAAACACGUAGUAAGCCAUCAGUAUUUCUCAGAUCAACCAUCCAUGAUGGUGCCCAACACACCGCUUGGCAUGCUCGACCAAUUUAAUAACCUUAACCAUUCAUGAAACCACUCCUCCUUUGGCAAAUACUACAUCAAAUUUCUUAGUCGAAGCUCGAUAUUAUCCCUCCAGCAUAUUGAAAUCAAAUCUGCUCGUACUCAUUAAAGAUCCCAACGAUCUCAUCUAAUGAACACACUACUCUGGUGACAUUACACAUUAAUACAUGACUAAGCCACAACUCGCACAAUAUGCGCACCAAUAAGCAAUAGUCUAAACAUACUCAAUUCAUGAAAAUGACUCAACUGAAAGAGCUGUACUUCAAGCUCUCCAAUACCACCACAGCACAAGACAGAGAACCUGUCUCUCAUCAUAGAGACAGAACGCACGAAUCUAACCCGUAAUAUCAUACAUCCACAUAACUUUUCCCCAAUGCAUGACCUCAUCCAGUACGAACCGCUUAGUCAAUAAGCCAUCUCGUACAUAAUCAAAAGUCUUAUAUGAUGCUACAAAGUGUUGAUAGGCUAUCGAUUAAAAUGCAGUACAAAAGGAAGAUGAACUCUGGAAGAAACGACCUAACUCACAUACUAAUAGGUGCUCUCCUUAGAAAGAUAGGAAGCAAGGCAUACAAAAAUAGAAUAUAAAAAACUAUGCUCAAUACCACACUGUCGCGGCGCGCAACCCGAUCCAAAUAACACACUCAUGGCGGCGUUCCACCUGAUCCACACAUAACACUCACCUAAAUAGGUGUACAUCGAGCUAAAUUGCUCAUUAAUAUAAAAUACCGAAUUUCGGUCACAAGCACGCUAAGUGCAUAAUACCAUCCCUGAGAGGACAUACAAUGCUAUAAGCUACCAAAACUCAAGCUCAACUGAUGUAUGAUAUACAAUCUGAAUCUCGAGAGUUAUUUUGCUCAAAACCAUCAUUUCUACGCGGAUCCUCAACACAUAAGCAUUUUCUCAAACAGUCUCACAACUUAUACGGUGCAGUGUAUCACUGCAUAAAAUAUCUGACAACAAAAUAACACCCUGACUCCUCCUUCAUAAGGAGCGCAUCACUGAAAAGAACAUGUUUGCCCUGACAUAGAGCCUAUAUUCAUAUUUGAAUCCAUCCACCGACUUCAAGCCAAUUUUGAUCACACUGAACUAGGUUAAUUACCUUUCAAAGGUCCCUAAAAACUCAUCUUCCGCUCGUAGAACAUAUUUAUAUAGUAUACUAGUUAUUAGUAUAGUAUAUAUAAUAUAUUUCAUUGUAUAUUGUAUUGUAGUAAUUAGUAUAUAUUGUAUGUUAUGUAUAUAUAUAAUAUUUUGUUGUAGUAUAUAUAUUGUAUCUCUUAUGUAUAAUGUAUAUAUAUUCUCUAAUAUAUAUUGUAUCUUAUGUAUAUAUGUUAUUACUUACAUAUUUUCUUGUAGUUUAGGUUAUAUAUUAUGUAUAUAUAUUCUCGUAUAUAUUUUCUUGUAGUAUAUAUUGUAUGUUAUAUUGUAGCUUAUAAAUAAUUCGAAGUAAAGACAAAGAAAUAUUGAGAAAAAGAUAUUCAAGGGUAUGUCUACCCAAAAUGGUAUAUCUUUCUUAGUCUUCCUUCCCCCAAUAGAAUGAGCACAACAAAAUACUAAUACCACCAUUAAAAGAAAAAAACUAAAAGAAGAUGUGCCAAAGUACAUGUUACAUCAUAAUCUACAUUAUAUCUCUAACAAAUCUCAUAAAUCCGUCAAGGUUGGGAGGAGGUUGUGUUGGUGGUGGUAGAAAAGAGGCUUGUUCAUCACCACUUCCGGGCGAAUCUGAAUCCUCCGCAAGUUCCGGUAUCAUUUCUUCAUAAGCUUCAUCUAUCGCCGGUUGUGAUUCUGCAAUUCCAAAGUUUCUUCUUUCUGCGCGGAUCCAAUCUCUAAAAAGUAUCAAUUUUUCCAAGCUAUCCCUCAUCGCCUCUAUGAUCUUUGAAGUCUUGCUUGACUGAAAGCGCUCUCCGAUGCAACAGUUGAAUCUUGAAUUGAUAAAAUAUCCCGAGCCAUCCUUACAAGAACCGGAAAAUAUUUUUCCCUUGACUUCCACCAUUCCAAAAGNNNNNNNNNNNNNNNNNNNNNNNNNNNNNNNNNNNNNNNNNNNNNNNNNNNNGACUUCCACCAUUCCAAAAGAUCAAAAGAGCCGUCUGGAUUCUCCUUUUCAAGUCCCUGAGACAAGUAAACUUGAAGCUCAUUUACAUGUGAAGUUUCAUCAUAAUUAUCACCUUGAGAACCCCAAAACUCCGUCCAAGAUUUAAGAGUUGUUAAGCCCGCAGCUCUUUUAGAAGAUUGUGAGCUAGACGAAGUAAGGGUUGGAAUAUUUGGCCUAGCAUGCUCUAAGGAGGGUUGAUAAGCAUUAUAAACUGUUUGAGCAUUAAUUUUAAUUGAUGGUUUUGCAUAUGCAAGUGUAGCAACUUCCUCGUUUGAAAGAUCUAAAGCCUUAUAAAAAUUUGAAUACCAAAAAUGAGGACCUCCCAAUUUCAUUGUAGGAUUUAACAUUGCAGCAACANNNNNNNNNNNNNNNNNNNNNNNNNNNNNNNNNNNNNNNNNNNNNNNNNNNNNNNNNNNNNNNNNNNNNNNNNNNNNNNNNNNNNNNNNNNNNNNNNNNNNNNNNNNNNNNNNNNNNNNNNNNNNNNNNNNNNNNNNNNNNNNNNNNNNNNNNNNNNNNNNNNNNNNNNNNNNNNNNNNNNNNNNNNNNNNNNNNNNNNNNNNNNNNNNNNNNNNNNNNNNNNNNNNNNNNNNNNNNNNNNNNNNNNNNNNNNNNNNNNNNNNNNNNNNNNNNNNNNNNNNNNNNNNNNNNNNNNNNNNNNNNNNNNNNNNNNNNNNNNNNNNNNNNNNNNNNNNNNNNNNNNNNNNNNNNNNNNNNNNNNNNNNNNNNNNNNNNNNNNNNNNNNNNNNNNNNNNNNNNNNNNNNNNNNNNNNNNNNNNNNNNNNNNNNNNNNNNNNNNNNNNNNNNNNNNNNNNNNNNNNNNNNNNNNNNNNNNNNNNNNNNNNNNNNNNNNNNNNNNNNNNNNNNNNNNNNNNNNNNNNNNNNNNNNNNNNNNNNNNNNNNNNNNNNNNNNNNNNNNNNNNNNNNNNNNNNNNNNNNNNNNNNNNNNNNNNNNNNNNNNNNNNNNNNNNNNNNNNNNNNNNNNNNNNNNNNNNNNNNNNNNNNNNNNNNNNNNNNNNNNNNNNNNNNNNNNNNNNNNNNNNNNNNNNNNNNNNNNNNNNNNNNNNNNNNNAAUCUAAACAUUCAUCCAAUCUUGGGUAGUAAGCAUUUCAUCAUCAUCCUCACCACCUACCCGAGAAUUAAACGUUGCAUUAAUUGGUUACUAUAUUCAUAUGCAACUACUAAACUUUCGUACAUACAAUUCCAUCUAGUCGGGCAAGGUUUAGGAACCAUUCUUUCUCUAAGGCCAUAUUCAUCACAUUAAUUAAAAUACUCUCUAAGUCUAGUUCUACAGUUUGAAUAAAAAAGCCAAUUAUAUGCCAUUCGAAUAUUUUCAAUUUCUCUGUUUAAAAUUCGCAUACCAUCUCCGACAAUUAAAUGAUAAAUAUGACAAAUACAUCUAAUAUGAAAAAAAUUGGUAAAUGCAGUAUUUAGUGUUUUUGUAAGCAUGCCUAUAGCACUAGUGUUACUAGAAGCAUUAUCCAUAGAAAUUGCCAUUAUUUUAUUGCUAAAGCAAAAUAUCUACUANNNNNNNNNNNNNNNNNNNNNNNNNNNNNNNNNNNNNNNNNNNNNNNNNNNNNNNNNNNNNNNNNNNNNNNNNNNNNNNNNNNNNNNNNNNNNNNNNNNNNNNUAAGCACAUAAUAGUAAUCAUCUUUGCUAAUUCUUCACGAUCUCUAUUUGGAUCGUAAUAUAAAAUACAUCCGGUGACAGUGUUAAUUCCUGGUUCAACUAGAUUUGAACCUGUACUAGGGUUAACCGCAGAAUCUACACUUGUACCCUCUUUUUGCGCUUGCAUUUGAAAAAAGCUAGCCUUAUCUCUAGGGUGUGUUUUUAUGUGCCUAGUCAAUCUACCCGUGCCGCUACGGUCUCCAGUAAAUUUAUGAACCGGUAAUUUCCCACAAGUUUUACACUUAGCCUUAUUUAGUUCUCUUACUUGAGUAAAAAAUUCCAAACUAAUGACGUUUAGCAGGUUGCAUAUUAAAAUUUGGAGUUUCUACAGGUGGGUCGGCCGGUGCAUUACUUGAGUUAUGAAUAUGACUAGUAGGUGUAUCACCUAAAUCUGGUGCUUGGGUUUCAAGAUAGGUUCAUUAGGAUAAAGAGCAUUCAUAAUUUCAUCAUCUAAUCUAUCACCUACUGCNNNNNNNNNNNNNNNNNNNNNNNNNNNNNNNNNNNNNNNNNNNNNNNNNNNNNNNNNNNNNNNNNNNNNNNNNNNNNNNNNNNNNNNNNNNNNNNNNNNNNNNNNNAAUUGAAAACAAGGGUGAUCACUAUCAAGCAUUACGGGAGGAGGAGGAGGACGUCUAGGUUGGCGACUACUUUCAACUUUCUUAUCUUUUGUAGGUCUGGGAUUCGGGGGAAGGGUAGUAUUAUUACCACUACUUUCACCGACUUUACCUUUUCCUUCACCAAAUAUUUUUUUCAAAGAAAAUGUCAUAUUAAUUAUAAUUAUGUAGAACUAAACCACACAAAAAUAUAUAUUAAAAUGUAAGAGUUAAAACGAGUUUACCGGAUUGCCGAACAACUUCUUGAAAAUUGAAAAUCAUUGAACACUUGAAAANNNNNNNNNNNNNNNNNNNNNNNNNNNNNNNNNNNNNNNNNNNNNNNNNNNNNNNNNNNNNNNNNNNNNNNNNNNNNNNNNNNNNNNNNNNNNNNNNNNNNNNNNNNNNNNNNNNNNNNNNNNNNNNNNNNNNNNNNNNNNNNNNNNNNNNNNNNNNNNNNNNNNNNNNNNNNNNNNNNNNNNNNNNNNNNNNNUGAUGAAUUGGUGAAUAAAAUGAAAGAAUGAGGGGGUAUUUAUAGUUGAGAAAUGGGAAAAAGUAUAAUUAUAUAAAGUUUGGGGUUAAAUUAAAGUUUUUGGGCCAAAUGGCCAUUUUUCAAACUUCCAAACGGCCAUAUUUUCAGCCCAAACGGCUAUAUUUUAAAUAUGGCCGUUACUGAUUUUUAAAUUUUUUUUUGAAAAAUAGUCGUUGGGCCUGUUUAGGCCUGCCGGGCCCGCCAGGACCGGUCCACGCCUGGCUGACGGUUCCGGGCCUAGCGGUCCCGGGCUCACGGUCUAUUGGUCUUGGACCGGCCCGUCACGGGCCUACAUGUAUCACCAGGCCAAGACCGCUUGGACAGGCCCACCAGGCCCAGUAGUCCCGCCAAGACCGCGGGCCCGGUCCGGUCUGAUUCAGGCCCGGGCCACAGUGCAAGGUUACCCUACUACUCGCUUCUUCAGCAGCUUCAACUACUGCCAUGACAUGGGAGCUAGAUUCAGUUAGAUUAUUAAAUCCAUUUGAUGUUAUUACGACCUUAUUUGAUUUCUGCUUUACACCUUUAGCGAAAGAUUUUCCCUUUACAGUUUGUCAUCUAUCUUCUUAAUUUUGAUCCUCUAUUGUAAUUGAUUUCUGCUUUACACCUUUAGCCAAAGAUUUUUCCUUCACAGUCUGCCAUUCAUCUUCUUGAUUUUGAUCCUCUAUCAUAAUUGAUUGUAUUGUUUGAAUUUUUCUCCCUUCCUACAAUUUGCGCUUGCCCGUGUUAGCUCAAAUUCUUUCCAAUUAUUUACCCUGUUUUGUUCCAUUCUUGUAGUGGCUUCUGGUAUUUGAUUUUUGGUUGAUGUGAUGAAUUCUCCUUUAUAGGAUCUUUACAUACAUGUCCUAAUAGAAAAUAGGUUGGGCAAUAGAGUGGCUUUCAAUCAUACUAAAUCUCUUGAUCCAAAACCCUUCCAUUUGGAUCUUCUCCUUUUAUUUGCUUUGGAAACAUCCAUUUCUACUAGAAUCCUGGCAUAUGAAAUAUGUCCCACUUUAGACGUGCAAUUAUUAGUAUAUAGCGGCACACGCAGUAUACUACCAAUUCUACUCAGAGAAUUACAAUACCAAUAGUUCAAUGGUAGAUUCGACAGUUACACCCAUAACGGAAUAGUCUUCAAGACCUCAUUGUUAAAAUUAAAUUUGCAAACCACAUCUUAACAAUUCUUGGCUUGCUAUUCAAAGUGUAAGGCGCAGAGUACACUACAACAUUCCUAUUCUCCAUAGAGUUAACAACACUAAAAAGUAUCAAUUAUUUAUGUAAGUAAUUUGUUGGUUUAGAAACAAAAUUCCACUGACUUGCUAUAAAUCUGUCUAUGGUCCCAAUAAGAUAAUUUCCACUUCUCUGUAUCUUUCUCUAUCACCUCUUGCACAAUAUAGCUACUUUCUCAUCAUUCUUAUUUGUAGAAGCAAUAAACUGCAAAUUCAUACCUCUGGAAUCCAUUUUAUUUGCAGUAAAUAAGUUUUUCUAUUUUUCAUCGUCAUACCCUGUAUUGACAGACCCAAUUUCCUUUGGGCUCCAACUUCUCCCCAUAUUUUCCUUAGUUGGUAUUGCAAUAUCAUUGUGUGAACUCUUUUCCUUCUCCGAUAUGUUCGAGGUAGAAGCCCUCUCCAUUGAUGUUAUCAGGUUUGGCGAAGUUUUGAUUUCCUUUCUAGGUAAAUUUUGCCAUUACUCUUUUAACUCCUUCCCACUUGCUACCCUCAUAUGUUCCUCUAUCAUCCCCACAGACUUCCGUCCAGCUCCAAGAACUCGUAAAUCCUCCACCUCAGCUGCAGCUAACGCUCUUCAAGGUCGUCCAUUUUCGAUGGUGGCACAUAAUAGCAAGUGUCUCUCUACCAUACGCCGAGAGCAGAAUACCUGAUGAAACUUUUUUACUAGGAAAAUAAUUAAAAUGACUAUUUUAUUUGGUAUGAAAUCUAUUUUAAAAGGGUAAAAAACGCGAAAUAUGAGCAAUAAACUGCAAAUUCAUAUGUCUGGAAGCCAUUUUAUUUGCAGCAAAUAGGCUUUUCUAUUUCUGAUCGUCAUUCCUGUGGGGUCAGCCCACUUAUUAAGGAAGAAAACUUCUUCUUUGCUUCUUCAUUUUCAAUAUAGGAAGCAGCACCCACGUUUUCUUUGUCUGUCAAAGAAAGUAGGCAGCAGAACAUUGAAAUGUCAAAUUAAGGUGGCAAUGUUUUGCCUAUAAAAUAAAAUGAGAGCUUCGGCUCUCAUUUUUAUACAACCAACAAAAGAGAGAAAAAAGAGUAAGGUUUCACAGACAGGGUAUAAGAAAAUAGUCUGUGAGGAAAAUAGAGAGUGAGCGAUAUUGUAGUGAGGUGGANNNNNNNNNNNNNNNNNNNNNNNNNNNNNNNNNNNNNNNNNNNNNNNNNNNNNNNNNNNNNNNNNNNNNNNNNNNNNNNNNNNNNNNNNNNNNNNNNNGGUUUUCCACGUAAAAAUCUUGGUGUCAUUAUUACUCUUUUAUUCUUGUUAAUUACCGUAUCUCGGUGCUACAUUAUUAUUCCACUUUUAUUACCAUGAAUAUUCUUUUAGCAGGGGGUUUAUUCCCAACAACUGGUAUCAGAGAACAGGUUCCGCUGUUCACUGAAAUACUAUUCACUAUCGGUAGUACUAUACUCGGUGAAAAUAAAAAUGUCUGGAGUAAAGUACGAGGUAGCAAAAUUCAACGGAGAUAACGGUUUCUCAACAUGGCAAAGAAGGAUGAGGGAUUUUCUCAUCCAACAAGGAUUACACAAGGUACUAGAUGUUGAUGCCAAAAAGCCUAAUACCAUGAAAGCUGAGGAUUGGGCUGACUUGGAUUAAAGAGCUGCUAGUGCAAUCAGGUUGCACUUAUCGCAUGAUGUGGUAAAUAACAUCAUUGAUGAAGACACUGCACAUGUAAUUUGGACAAGGUUGGAAAGCCUAUACAUGUCCAAAACGCCGACAAAUAAAUUAUACCUGAAUAAGCAGGAAUUUCGACAAGGUUGGAAAGCAUGUACAUGUCUAAAACGCUGACAAAUAAAUUGUACCUAAGAAGCAGUUAUACGCCCGCAUGGGUGAAGGUAUGAAUUUUUUGUCACAUUUAAAUGUGUUUAACGGACUAGUCACACAGCUUGCCAACCUCGGAGUGAAAAUCGAGGAGGAAGAUAAAGUCAUCUUGCUAUUGANNNNNNNNNNNNNNNNNNNNNNNNNNNNNNNNNNNNNNNNNNNNNNNNNNNNNNNNNNNNNNNNNNNNNNNNNNNNNNNNNNNNNNNNNNNNNNNNNNNNNNUAAGACUACUAUUGAGUUGAAAGAUGUCACAUCGGCUCUUUUACUCAAUGAGAAGAUGAGAAAGAAGCCUGAAAAUCAAGGACAAGCUCUUAUCACAGAAUGUAGAGGCAGGAGUUAUCAAAGGAGUUCGAGCAACUAUGGUAGAUCCGGAGCUCGUGGAAAGUNNNNNNNNNNNNNNNNNNNNNNNNNNNNNNNNNNNNNNNNNNNNNNNNNNNNNNNNNNNNNNNNNNNNNNNNNNNNNNNNNNNNNNNNNNNNNNNNNNNNNNNNNNNNNNNNNNNNNNNNNNNNNNNNNNNNNNNNNNNNNNNNNNNNNNNNNNNNNNNNNNNNNNNNNNNNNNNNNNNNNNNNNNNNNNNNNNNNNNNNNNNNNNNNNNNNNNNGAUAAUGUUGUCCUCUUUAUAAAUGAGGAAGAUGAAUGCAUGCACCUGUCAGGUCCAGAGUCGGAAUGGGUGGUUGACACAGCGGCAUCUUACCUUGCCACACCGGUAAGAAAUCUUUUUUGCAGAUAUGUAGCAGGUGAUUUUGGCACACUGAGAAUGGGUAACACAAGCUACUCAAAGAUUGCGGGGAUUGGUGAUAUUUGUAUCAAGACAAAUGUCGGACUCACAUUGGUUAUAAAGGAUGUGCGGCAUGUACCUGAUUUGCGGGUGAACUUGAUCUCGGGGAUUGCUUUGGACCGAGAUGGAUAUGAGAACAAAUUGCAAAGGGAAUUGCUCAUGGCACGUUGUACAGGACAAAUGCAGAAAUACGCCAAGGAGAAAUUAAUACGGCACAAGAUGAGAUUUCUGCAGAUUUGUGGCAUAAAAGAAUGGGUCAUAUGAGCGAUAAGGGAUUGCAGAUUCUUGCCAAAAAAUCACUUAUUACUUAUGCCAAAGGUACAAGAAUAGAACCCUGUGACUACUAUUUAUUUGGUAAGCAGCAUAGAAUCUCAUUUCAGACAUCGUCUGAAAGAAAACUGAAUAUACUUGAUUUAGUAUAUUCUGAUGUUUGUGGCCCAAUGGAAAUUGAAUAAAUGGGCGGUAACAAAUAUUUUGUUACUUUUAUUGAUGAUGCUUCACGAAAAUUGUGGGUUUAUAUUUUGAAAACCAAAGAUCAGGUGUNNNNNNNNNNNNNNNNNNNNNNNNNNNNNNNNNNNNNNNNNNNNNNNNNNNNNNNNNNNNNNNNNNNNNNNNNNNNNNNNNNNNNNNNNNNNNNNNNNNNNNNNNNNNNNNNNNNNNNNNNNNNNNNNNNNNNNNNNNNNNNNNNNNNNNNNNNNNNNNNNNNNNNNNNNNNNNNNNNNNNNNNNGGAUGAACCGCACCAUUGUGGAGAAGGUGAGAAGCAUGCUCAGAAUGGCUAAACUACCUAAGUCAUUCUGGGGUGAAGCAGUUCAGACAGCCUGUUACCUUAUCAAUAGGAGUCCAUCAGUUUCAUUGGCGUUUGACAUCCUAGAAAGAGUUUGGACCAAUAAGGAGGUGUCCUACUCGCAUCUAAAGGUGUUCGGUUGUACAGCUUUUGCACAUGUAGCAAAAGAGCAGGGAACAAAGCUGGAUGAUAAAUCUGUUCCUUGCAUAUUUAUUGGAUAUGGAGAUGAAGAGUUCGGGUACAGAUUGUGGGAUCCUAUAAAGAAGAAGGUCAUCAGAAGCUGAGAUGUAGUCUUUCGAGAAAGUGAAGUUGGAACUGCUGUUGAUAUGCCAGAAAAGGCAAAGAAUGGUAUAAUUCCUAAUCUUGUUACUAUUCCUUCUACUUCUAACAAUCCCACAAGUGCAGAAAGUACGACCGACGAGGUUGCCGAGCAGGGGGAGCAACCUGGUGAGAUUAUUGAGCAGGGAGAGCAACUUGAUGAAGGUGUCGAGGAAGUGGAGAACCCCACACAGUAAGAAGAACAACCUCAACCUCUAAGGAGAUCGAAGAGGCCAAGGGUAGAGUCAUAUAGGUAUCCUUCCACAGAGUAUGUCCUCAUCAGUGAUGAGGGGGAGCCAGAAUGUCUUAAGGAGGUGUUGCCGUUGUCAAAAUUACUUCUUUUCGAACAAUUUUGAGCUUAACAGCUAGCCUAGAUCUUGAAGUGGAGCAGUUGGAUGUAAAAACUGCAUUUCUUCAUAGAGAUUUGAAAGAAGAGAUUUAUAUGGAGCAGUCAGAAGGAUUUGAAGUAGCUGGAAAGAAACACAUGGUGUGCAAAUUGAAUAAGAGUCUUUAUGGAUUAAAGCAGGCACCAAUGCAAUGGUACAUGAAGUUUGACUCAUUCAUGAAAAGUCAAACAUACAUAAAGACCUAUUCUGAUCCAUGUGUAUACUUCAAAAGAUUUUCUGAAAANNNNNNNNNNNNNNNNNNNNNNNNNNNNNNNNNNNNNNNNNNNNNNNNNUUCUGAAAAUAAUUUUAUUAUAUUGUUGUUGUAUGUGGAUGACAUGUUAAUUGUAGGAAAAGACAAGGGGUUGAUAGCAAAGUUGAAGGGAGAUCUGUCUAAUUCAUUUGAUAUGAAGGACUUGAGCCCAGCACAACAAAUUCUAGGGAUGAAGAUAGUUCUAGAGAGAACAAGUAGAAAGUUGUGGCUAUCUCAGGAGAAGUAUAUUGAACGUGUACUAGAAAGUUUCAACAUGAAGAAUGCUAAUUCAGUCAGCACACCUCUUGCUAGUCAUCUAAAAUUGAGCAAAAAAUGUGUCCUACAACAGAGGAGGAAAAAGGGAACAUGGCUAGAGUUCCUUAUUCUUCAGCAGUCNNNNNNNNNNNNNNNNNNNNNNNNNNNNNNNNNNNNNNNNNNNNNNNNNNNNNNNNNNNNNNNNNNNNNNNNNNNNNGUAAUGGUAUGUACUAGACCUGAUAUUGCUCACGCAGUUGGUGUUGUCAGCAGGUUUCUUGAAAAUCCUGGAAAGGAACAUUGGGAAGCAGUCAAUUGGAUACUCAGGUACAUGAGAGGCACCACGGGAGAUUGUUUGUGCUUUGGAGGAUUUGAUCCAAUCUUGAAGGGCUAUACAGAUGCUGUAUGGCAGGUGACAUUGACAACAGAAAAUCCACUACUGGAUAUUUGUUUACAUUUCAGGGGGAGCUAUACCAUGGCAGUCGAGGUUGCAGAAGUGUGUUGCACUCUCUACAACUGAAACGGAAUAUAUUGCCACUACUGAAGCUGGCAAAGAGUUGGUAUGGCUCAAACAGUUCCUUCAAGAGCUUGUAUUGCAUCAAAAGGAGUAUAUCGCCUAUUGUGAUAGUGAAAGUACAAUAGACCUUAGCAAGAACUCUAUGUACCAUGCAAGGACCAAACACAUUGACGUGAGAUAUCAUUGGAUUCGAGAAAUGGUAGAUGAUGAAGAUUGGAUUGCAUCAAAAGGAGUAUGUUGUCUAUUGUGACAGUCAAAGUGCAGUAGACCUGAGUAAAAACAUCAUGUAUCAUGAAAGGACGAAGCAUAUCGAGGUGAGAUAUCAUUGGAUUCGUGAGCAGGUGGAGAACGAAUCUUUACAGGUCAAAAAGAUUCACACAAGCGAAAAUCCCGCAGAUAUGCUCACCAAAGUGGUACCAAGAGACAAGUUUGACCUAUACAAAGAACUUGUCCGCAUACACUCAAACUAGAAACUAUGGUGUUAUCCCCUUCGGGUGAAUGGGACUGGAGGGAGAGAUUUGUUGGGUCCAACAUACUUAUUAAGGAAGAAAACUUUUUCCUUGUUUCUUCAUUUUCAAUAUAGGCAGCAGCAGCCCACGUUUUCUUUGUCUGUCAAAGAAAGUAGGCAGCAGAACAUUGAAAUGUCAAAUUAAGUUGGCAAUGUUUUGCCUAUAAAAUGAGAGCUUACAAAGAACUUGUCCGCAUACACUCAAACUAGAAACUAUGGUGUUAUCCCCUUCGGGUGAAUGGGACUGGAGGGAGAGAUUUGUUGGGUCCAACAUACUUAUUAAGGAAGAAAACUUUUUCCUUGUUUCUUCAUUUUCAAUAUAGGCAGCAGCAGCCCACGUUUUCUUUGUCUGUCAAAGAAAGUAGGCAGCAGAACAUUGAAAUGUCAAAUUAAGUUGGCAAUAUUUUGCCUAUAAAAUAAAAUGAGAGCUUCGGCUCUCAUUUUUACACAACCAACAAAAGAGAAAAAAAAAGAGUAAGGUUUCACAGACAGGGUAUAAAAAAAUAGUCUGUGAGGAAAAUAGAGAGUGAGCGAUAUUGUUGUGUCGCCCGCCACUGGUUGUGUCGCCCCUUUUCUAUUCAUAGCUUGUUGGGAAAAAAAGAUCUAAGCAGAUAAUUAAUUAUUAAUUUUAAGGGCAAGGAGUUCUAUGAUCAUUGUACUCCCGAGAAUUCUCUAUUUCAUACAAAAUAUAGAUUAGGGCGUAGUAAUAAAUAUUAGUGGCAGAGCCACAUUCAACAAAAUAAAGGAAUGUCAAUUGUUACACUGUCCCAGAAUAAUUAUACUGUAUUUUUUAAUAAUUUUUUUAUGUAUAUUAACUAUAAGCUGAUUCCCCAUUUAUAUUUUGACUAACUCCACCAUCAUGUAGUAUACUAACUAAUUAUCUAGCUUCAAUUUUCCCACUACUAUUUUCACUCAGAUCUUUUUGCUCCAAAAGAAAACCAUUCUUAUCUUCAACUAUUUUCUUUUAUUUCUUUUUUAUCUUUCCUUUUUUAAGAAAAUAAAAAAUCAUGGCGAAGAACGGUGGCAAUAAAAGGAAGAAGAAGCAGAUGAGUGGGGAGGCAGCGGCGAAGGAUGAUAGGUAGUAGGGAGAGAAGAUAAGAGCUUUUACUAUAUUAUUUUGAUCAGCUUAAUAUAUAUUUGCACUACUUACUGCUUUUCUUUUCUUUCAAUGUCAGAAUUUUGUGUUAAUAGGUACAUUUUUAAAGUAGAAAUGACACGAGAUAUUCACUCUAAAAGACUGCUAUUUAAUAAUUAAUAGUGCGUCAUAAAUUUUAAUUUUUCAGUUUAAAUUUUCAAGUUGUUUUAAAGUUGUAGUUUUUAAUUUAAAAUUUCAAAAUAAAAAUAAGUAAUGACUAAUCCUUAAAUAAUAUACCUAAGAAUGACUAUUUGUGCACUUAAUCCAAUUUCUAGUCAUAUUAAAGUGUCUAUAGGAACAAACUCUAGUUAAAGUGUCAAAUAAAAAGUGAUGGCAACUUUAAGUGGCCACAUACUAGUAGGCCUAAAUCAGAAUCAAGUAUUCCACUAAUUAAAUCGUGAGAUUCUUACUUUCAUAUAUUACAUAUAAAACUUUAUUACCCUCCCUAAUAAAGUUUUAAUUAUUGCAUGGUCAUAUAUAAUUUAUCGAUUAUAUAUAAAUUAGUUUUAAAUGAGUAUUCAUUUAUAUUAGGAAUUGAAUAAGGAAUCAAUUAUUUCUUAUCCACGCUCUCUAUCUAUCUCCCCUCCCCCCCCCCCCCCCNNNNNNNNNNNNNNNNNNNNNNNNNNNNNNNNNNNNNNNNNNNNNNNNNNNNNNNNNNNNNNNNNNNNCCCCCCCCCCCCCCCCCCAAUUUUUCUUCCUUUGAUGUUCUCUAUUUUUUAUCCUUUAAUAUUGUAUAUAUUUUUAAUGGAAUUCAUCAGUGGAGGAUUUCAAUCGUUUUACUAAUAGAGUUUUAGCUCAGUAAUUUUCUUUCAUGUUACAUAAUUAGUGUUCAAAUUAAAAUUGUCAAGCAAUAAAAUUUGAAGGUGUUUGACUCUCCACCCUUGACAGCAAUUAAAAAGCUUUGAAGGUUUGUAUUCGAAUUUGAAUUUUUCAAACCCAUUAUUUGUUCGAAUUGGAUAUUGUUGUAAACAACUGAGAAUAUUGUUUUGAGUUUAUAUCUCAAUUUUGGGUGUUCGGUAAAGAUUGGACUUGCUUUUGGUUGAAUUUCAUAUUGAAACAAGAAGAAGAAGAAGAAGAAGAAGAAGAAGAAGAAGAAGAAGAAGAAGAAGAAGAAAACAUACAAUAUACUUAUGAAAAUGAAUUAAACUUAUAUCAUAUUUGUAUUUUAAGUUGUAUUCUAUUGUAGUUAUAUAUACUUUUUUAAUUUAAAUAUUGUAUGAAGAUUAAAAAUAAUUGAAUAAUAUAUGAAUCGUUAUAAGAAAUUUGUAUUUAAGUUAUAAAUAUUAUCUUUUUACAUAAUAUUGUUAAUAUGUAUCAAAAUUGUAUUAAAAGAGAAAAUUUUGAUUGAAAUUUUAGAGAGGAAGAACUCACUACAUACAAAAUAUAUACAAAUCUUUUAUAGAAUACAUACAGAAAAUAUAUUGUAUAAAAUUUGUAUGAAAAUUGUAUUUAAAUUAUGUGGUAUUGUAGUUGUAUUUAAGUGGUAAACCUAAUGUAUGAAGGUUGUAAAUAAGUUAUAAAUCAAUUGUAUAUUAUAUAAUUAUUUGUAUAAAAUUUAUGUUUUGUUUAUAUGUUAUUGUAGAUGUAUCAAAAUUUGUACAAAUUUUAUUUUUAAUUUGCAUGCUAAUGUACCAUACAAAUUUGUCAUCACCAAGUUUUUAUUGUUGUUCUUGCGGUGCUACAUCGACAGAGAUGAAGGCGUUGAACAUUUACUUAAAUUUUGAGUUUGUCUUUGAUUAAAAAUAUAAGUCCUUCCCCCUGAAGCCCCAUGGGCGAAAUGACUAAACAAAUUAGUAAAAAAUAAAAACGCUACCAACUACAGAAUUAUCAGCGGUAAAUAACACUCCAUUUAAUAAAAAUUAUGAAAUACAAUGAUAUUUUAAUAAAUUAUAACAUUCCUAAAAUAUAAGCUCUACGUAAUAGUACUCACCAAUCAAUAUUGAUAAAUUUUCAGUCCUUCCAUCAAUUAUCAUCCCAGUUCAUGGCAUUAUCAUCGUCAUCCCUGCCACCGGAAUCUCUGUUUAUCCCUCGAAUUGGAUGUGCAAUAUUCUAUCAAUUAAAUACUUUUAGAAAAGUAAAUCUUGGACCCUAACAAUUGAAAAGAACAUCAUUAAUAAAUGAAGGGAUCUUUAAAUUAGAAAAAGAGAAGAGGAAAGAAAAAGAAAAAAUAAAAGGAAAAAGGGUGUAUUUUAAUCCCCUAAUUUAAGACAUCAAUAAUGAAUUUUAUAUAAAUUAUUAGCAAACAUUAUUUAGAGCGGGUAACUUUUAAAACUGAGACAAUUAUGUAAUAAAAUUUCAUAUAGUGUAUAGGAAAAGAAAAAAGAUAUUGGUGCGAUAUAACAACAUACCCAUAUAAUUAACAGAAAAUAACCCUAAUUAUAGAUAUAUGCAUCAAAUAGCCAAUAAAUAUAUAUAACAAUAAUAAUAUGGACAUAACAACCUUUUUAUUUUUCUUUGUCUAUAUGUAUAUAAAACUUUAUUUUUAUUCCUUUUAUAUAAAUAAUGUUAUUAUUUGUAUAUCAAUAAUAUAAAACUAUAUAUAUAGUUAUUGCUACCUUUAUAUCAAUGUAUAUCACAAUAAAAAUAUUAUAUUAUUUGUAUAUCAUAGUGUAUAAUACAUCGGAUAUGUGUAUACCAAAAUAGAUAUCAUGAGUUUAUUUUUCUUCUUUAUGUGCAUCAAAAAUUAAUUUUCUUGUCUACUGGAAAAUUAUUUACUCCCACAAUUAUAUUCAUCAUUGUAAUAUUUUAGAACUUUCUUAAACAUGUUGUAUGAAAAUUUUUAUUUUCCUUUUUUGAUCAAUAAUUAAUAAUUAUAUUAUUUGUAUAUCACGGUGUAUCAUAAUAAUAUUGUGUAGAUCAAAACAAUUUAUUAAAUUUUAAUUUUCCUUCUUUGUAUAACAAUUUCAAAUUGAAAUCUCAAGUUCAAGACGACUGCACAUGUGUAUCUUCUACUGUAACCCGUGUAUACCUUAAUGUACAUCAGUGAUUUCUCAUGUAUAUUAUGUGUAUCUAGGUAUAUCAUGAAAACUUAUGUUAUAUAUAUGAUAUAUAAAGUGAUAUACAAUUGUAUACUAAUAUAUAUAAAGUGAUAUACAUAUACGUCCUUAAAAACUUGUGUAUGAUAUAUACUGAUGUACACGAUAUACAAUGUGUUAUACGCAUGUUGCAGUUGUACUUUUAGGUCUGAUUUUUUGAUUGAAACUAGUCUAAUUCACUUAUUAUCUUGCUCAAAUUUUGUAUAUAGCCUCAUUUAGGUAUUUUUAACCAAUUUCAAUUACACCAUUCAUUCAAUCCGGCCAAAAAAGGAAGAGAGAAAAAAACAAAGUUGAAAUAUAUUUUCUCUCUCUUAGUUUUUGCUAAUCUUGCUCAAAUUUUGUAUAUAACAUCGUUUAUGUAUUCUCAACCAAAUUUCAAUCACACCCACUCAUUCAAUCCAACCCCCCCCCCCCCCCNNNNNNNNNNNNNNNNNNNNNNNNNNNNNNNNNNNNNNNNNNNNNNNNNNNNNNNNNNNNNNNNNNNNNNNNNNNNNNNNNNNNNNNNNNNNNNNCCCCCCAAAAAAAAAAAAAAGAAGAGAAAAAGAAAAAUAAAGUUGAAAUAUAUUUUUUCUCUUAGUUUUUUCUUCUAGUUUUCGAUCAACAUUACCUUUUCAUCGCUUUUUUUUUUUGCAUAAUUUGUGAAAAGUUUUGCUAAACUAUGGGAGCAAAAGAAAAGAGGUAGAAGAAUAAAUACAAAGAGAGAAAUGGGAAGGGACGUCAAAAUAAUCGUGUAGUUGUUUUUGAGAGAGAAUAUAAAAAAGAGUAAUUUUUUAGGAUUUAUUUAUAUAAUAUUAAUAGUUUGGGGCUAUUUUUGUUAAAUCUAAUAUAAAGCUAAAAAUUGACAAAUUUCUAUUAUGAGUUGCUAGAGGAUGCCAAUUUUUCAAGAAAAAGUCCCUUAAAUCUUUGAUGAGGGACCGAAUCGAUUAGAUGUUUAUAGGCCCAAUCAGUAAUACGAUAUACUAUUAAUAAAGGGAUUUUUACCUAAUGCCAUAUAGCAAACCUUAUUACCAAAAAUGUUCAUAGUACCGCCUAGUCCAUAGUUUUGCUACAAAAUAUGUCCAAACCAAAAAUAGAUAGAUUCUACCCUAAAAUAGCUCCAAAUUUGUAGAAAUCAGAUUUAAUGGUGAUAGAAUCACCAUUAAUUUCUAAAUUUAAAACGGAAGAAAAUCCAUUGCAGCGUAAUUCUUUCAUUCUCCAUAUAUUUUCCACCAUUGAUAGCUAUUAAAAAGCUUGAAAGCUUUGAAUUCAAAUUUGGAUUUUCAAAAAUCAUUAUUUAUUUGGAUUGGGUGUNNNNNNNNNNNNNNNNNNNNNNNNNNNNNNNNNNNNNNNNNNNNNNNNNNNNNNNNNNNNNNNNNNNNNNNNNNNNNNNNNNNNNNNNNNNNNNNNNNNNNNNNNNNNNNNNNNNNNNNNNNNAUUAUAUCUCAAUUUUGAGGGGUUUUGAUGAAGAUUAGACUUGGUUUUGACUGAAUUUCAUACUGAAACUCGUCGAAGAAGAAGAAGACAUAUUUUUCCAGAAAUUGUAGUUAAAUUGUAGAAUUAUAAAUAAAUUUUAGAUAAAAUAUAGAUAAAUUAUAGAUAAGUUGUAGAUAAAUUGUAAAUUGGGAAGACUAAAACUUCUAGAAGUCUUCUACAAUUAUGUCGAAAAUGCCAAUUAUACUACAAUUGAAAAUAGCUUGGAUUGGGUGUUAUUGUAAAUAAUUCGAAAUAUGUUUAGGAGUUUAUAUCUCAAUUUUGANNNNNNNNNNNNNNNNNNNNNNNNNNNNNNNNNNNNNNNNNNNNNNNNNNNNNNNNNNNNNNNNNNNNNNNNNNNNNNNNNNNNNNNNNNNNNNNNNNNNNNNNNNNNNNNNNNNNNNNNNNNCGUUUUGGUGAAGAUUAGACUUGGUUUUGACUGAAUUUCAAAUUGAAACUCGUCGAAGAAAAAGAAGACAUAUUUUUCCAGAAAUUGUAGUUAAAAUGUAAACUUCUAGAUAAAUUGGAGAUAAAAUGUAGAUAAAUGGUAGAUAAUUUGUAGAUAAAUUGUAUAUUGGGAAGACUAAAACUUCUACAAGUCUUCUACAAUUGUUGUGAUAAUUUAUUUUAUAACAGCCAAUGCAUAUAAAUCGUUUCAUUUGAAGUCCCAUGAUUUGUAAUACAACUUUGUCUAUGCAUAUAAAUAUCCUCCUGACUUAAGGAAUCAUUGCGUAUUUUCUGCUUUGGUAUAAUACUUGACAUGGAAAUGAAGAGAAAAAAAAAUAAACUAUAAAUCAGUUUAAAUAUUGUAUAAAGUUGUAUUGUUACAUGUAUACUACAAUUAAACUACAAUUUUGUGUCAAAAAAAUUUAAGCAUACCAAAUCUAAUCAAUUCUUAAUAUUUAAAAUUUCAAUUUUGGGAGUGUCGCAAAUUUGGAAAGGGCAAGAACGAUUAUAUGCAUUGACUGUUGUUGUGAUAAUUUAUUUUAUAACAGCCAAUGCAUAUAAAUCGUUUCAUUUGAAGUCCCAUGAUUUGCAAUACAACUUUGUUUAUGCAUAAAUAUCCUCCUGGCUUCAGGAAUCAUUGCCUAUUUUCUGCUUUGGUAUAAUACUUGACAUGGAAAUGAAGAGAAAAAAAAUUAAAUAGAUAACGAAGAAGCUAUGACUUUGGUGAAAGAUAUGCAACCAAACAGAACACUAGGAAAGAGAAGAGGAAAAAAAGAAAAAAAGAUAUGCUCCUAAAAUCAUGCAUAGAAUAAAUGAAGCAAUAAUUAUACACUUAAUUUGAAUUAUGGUACAUAAAUUAAAAUUUGGAAUGCUUAAAUGUAAUAAACACCCUUAAUUUGAAUUAUGGUACAUAAAUUGAAAUUUGUAUACUUAAAUGUAAUAAACACAAACCUUAAAUAUGGUAGGUAAUAAGGUUUGCUAUAUGGUAAUACAUACGUAAAAAUACCAUUAAUAAAAGUCGAUGGGCAUCCAAUAACUUUCUGGCCCAUUAUUCCAGCCUAUGGCUUAUAACUAAGCCCAAAAGUCCAGCAGCAAUUGCUUAAAGAGAACUAGGGUUUUGCAGCAUUAUAGCCUCAGCUUCCCCUUCUCCCAAACCCCCCACUCCUCGUCCAAAGCAGCUGCAACAUCUCCUUCCCAACAUGGCUGUCGGGUAUCUCUUUCCCACUCCACUUUUUCUAACUCUUAUGUCAUAUUACUGAUUUAUUUCUAUCUUUUUGUUUUUCUUUCGAUUCUGAUGUUACAUUCUUGUGCAGUAAGAACAAGAGGAUUUCAAAGGGAAAGAAAGGAGGAAAGAAGAAGGCGUAAGAUUUAUCUCUUUGAUUGUUUCUGUUUUAGUUUUUGUGUGUAAAUGUAGACGUUCUAAAUUGGGUGUGGUGAAAAUGUGGGCAGGACGGAUCCGUACGCAAAGAAGGACUGGUAUGACAUAAAGGCACCAUCAGUAUUUGAUAUCAAGAACGUUGGCAAGACCCUGGUCACUAGGACUCAGGGUACUAAGGUCUUAUUCUCUUCCUCAUUUUCUACUUCUUUUUUCUCUUCUGAUGUUCUGUUAACCUUAUGCCUGUCGCUUUUGGUUUUGGAUUAUUUUGUUUAUCACUUAUAGUACUUCUGGACUAGUUCAUCUUUAUUACCGUUUUAGGAGCCUCUUUUUGUUAUCUCUUUAGAUGCAUAUGUGACCAUGCUAGGAGAGAUAAGAUUAAGAAUGAAGAUAUACGCGGCAAGGUGGAAGUGAGUAAGAUGGUUCAGACAUGUGAAGAUGAGCUAUACAAUGAUAGGUCUAAGUAGAGUCAUAGGUAGACCAAGGAAGAAUAGGGACAUCUGAUUAGAUAGGACAUGACACAUCUUUAGUUCAUCAAGGACAUGAGAGCAUGGAGGUUGAGGUUCAAGUAGAAAAUUAGUAGGUAGUCGAACGAUUUAUUUCUUUUUUGUGGAUAUCAUGGAUCUAGUUUAGAGCAUUUAUUUGCUCCCUUUUUGCCUUAUUAUUAUUAUUUUAUUAUCUUAUUCUUCAAUUUUAUUACUGUUGUUUCUUUUGCUUUGGUUGUCUCUACUAUUUUUUAUGACUAUUUUUUUCUUCUUGAGUACUUUCAUCUUAGUGUUUUCUUUACUUUGUAUUUUUCAAACCUGAUUUGAAAAUGCUUUUCUUGAAUUGGGGCAUAUUGAAAACAACCUAUCUACUUCACAUAAGGUAGCGGUGAGGUUUGCGUACAUUCUAUCCUCCCUAGACCCCAUUUGUGGGAUCAUAUUGGAUAUUUUUUAUUUGUUAUUACGACGUACAAGGAUGAUUAUAUAUCUAGGAAUGUGAUUAAUUAAUAUAUAACAGACUUGAGUGGAGUUCUAGGCUGCAAACUGGUGUAAUUUGGCUGUGAAAUGUGGGCGAUAUCUACACCUUGACCUUCCAAAUGUUGGGAAAAUAUAAAUGAAGUUGCUACACAUUUAGAUAUUUAGUGAUUCUCUUCAUGAAAGUCAUACUGAACAUGUAAAUAGUUCUCUAGUCCCUUCAAUCUAUAUGAGCUACAUUUGGACGAAGUAGAGGGUUGUUCCUAAAAAAAUAAUAAAGAAAGAGGGCUGCGGUUGGUUCAUUAACUUAAAACUAGUCAAUUUAUGAUGAGUCCUUUGUUGAAUAUGUUUGGACGCAGCAUUGGAAGGAAACAGUAUCCAAAUCAGUGAGUCAUAAAAGGUGCCCUUAAGGCUCAGUGCAUGAAGCUUAGCGUAGGACAGGGAGGGUUCUUCAGCUUGCAAUAUGAGGCUGCAUCAUAGGCCCCUUAGAGGGUAUAUAUCUUGAAGAGUGGCAUAUUAGACAAAAUGUAGUUGAGAAUUCUAUGUAUUGAUUGUUAAGAAGGCAUUAUUAAUGAGUAUUGAGAAAUUAUAAGUGAGAUUAUACUGGGUUGUUGUUGUUGUUGAGAAAUUAUAAGUUUCAAAACAAGUCACUGAAUAAACCUAGAACUGUUUUUCUUUCAUUCAGUGGAACUUUAUUAUGGCUCUUAAUCUUGAUUAAUGUGUUUUCUAUUUCAUAAAUUGCAGUAGUUUUUAAUGCCUUUGUCAACAUAAUUGUUGUUUGUCUUUAUACUAUUUAUCUAUUAAUCCAUGCACCCACGUGUUAAUUGCUCCUUAUGCUUAAAGCGUCAAAAGACCAUUUGGCUUUGACCAUUUUGACGCUCCAAAUAAUGAUAUUGAUGGUUUAUGUAAUAUACUUGGACACCAACUAUUUUGAAAAUGAGGCAUAAGCAUAGUAGUAGUUUGCUAUAGACCAUAGAUGUGGUGGGAUGCUAAUUCUUCGCCCCACCUUUGAUUUGGUUAAACUGUAUUUUAACUGUUCCAGGUGGUUUGUAGUCUAGAUUGUUUGGAUGACUUUUAACUCCUGAAACCCCCUCUUCAUAGAGUAUGUGUUUUGUCGAUUAUGGUCUGACCAUCCCAUGUUGUGGUGGAACUUUUCAUCUUUUAAAUAUAGAUGUAUAUGAAUGCAAGUGCAGUUUCACUUAAACAAGUGCAUUUAUUCCCUUGUGCCUCCAGAUUGCUUCGGAAGGACUAAAACACAGAGUAUUUGAAGUCAGUUUGGCUGAUCUUCAGAAGGAUGAGGAUCAAUCUUUCAGGAAGAUCCGCUUGAGGGCAGAAGAUGUGCAAGGGAAAAAUGUCCUCACAAACUUCUGGGUAAGAUGAAAUCCGUUUUAGACGAUCAUUUCUUCAUGACUGUAGAAUAGCCUUUUCUUUUAUGGACUGAAUUUUAACCUUGCUGUUGAGUAACUUCAGGGAAUGGAUUUCACAACAGACAAGUUGAGGUCUCUGGUGAAGAAGUGGCAGACAUUGAUUGAGGCUCAUGUGGAUGUCAAGACAACAGAUAGCUACACUCUCCGGAUGUUCUGCAUUGCUUUUACAAAGAAACGUCCCAACCAGCAGAAGCGGACAUGCUAUGCUCAGAGCAGCCAGAUCCGUCAGGUUUGUGGUACUUCUACUUGAUCUCACUUAUUUAAUAUUAUCUUGCAAGUUCACUUUCAGUUACUUACUGAUAUGUUUGUUUUGUUGUGUUAGAUCCGUCGGAAAAUGGUUGAGAUCAUGAGAAACCAAGCAAGUUCCUGUGACCUGAAGGAGUUGGUCGCAAAAUUUAUCCCCGAGUCAAUUGGCAGAGAGAUUGAGAAAGCGACUUCAAGCAUCUUCCCACUGCAAAAUGUUUAUAUCCGCAAAGUGAAAAUCCUUAAGGCCCCAAAAUUUGAUAUUGGCAAGCUGAUGGAGGUAAGUUCGCAUUGUUUUCUGUUUCCGUUCAUGACAUUGACCAUCAUGCGUGGAUAGUUCAAAAUUUACAAUUAGAUUAUUCAAGUAACAUCUGUUUUUGAACCUAAUAAUGAGUGUCAUCUUUUUACAGGUUCAUGGUGACUAUUCAGAAGAUGUUGGCGUGAAGUUGGAUCGACCAGCUGAUGAGAAUGUUGCUGAGGCAGAACCCGAAAUUCCUGGAGCUUAGACUUGUUUGAUUUGGAUUCUAUCUGAAUAUGGUGCUUGUCUUCUAAAUUUAUGAAUUUCUUUUAGUUGAGGUGUUAAGGCGCGACCUAACAAAAUAUUGGAUAUCUUUCUUUGGCAUUCAUCAGAAAUUAAGAAAUCGUUUUUAUGCUAAUAAAUCUUUUAUACUUUAUUACUUAUGCAUACUAUUGCCUAAUGAUGGUUUUCUGUCAAAAAGGCUGAUAAAGACAUAGUUGCAGCCUUGCAGGCUAUGAUUUAUUUAUGUGUUGCCGAGAUUGUGAGGCUGCAGGAACUGCUAUAGCUGAUGGUAGCAGUUGAGGGUUUAGAGAUUAAUAUGUAGAGCCACCUAGUGAAUACAUAACAAACGAUCUACGAAUAGUGGCUGCUUUUGUUUUCAUUGCUCUAGGAAAGGUUUCCUUAUUUAUGUUGCAAGUUUUAAUAACAAUUGUAUCACUUCAAGAAUAGGGAUUUUAAAGCAAAUGCUCUACCUGCAAGAUUUUAGCGGAAGUCUGAACUAAAUAUAGAAAUAGCGUCUAGAAAACUAUUACAAGUCUCUACCCAGCACCUGGUGUCACAACAAUACACAGACUGUCUAAGAUUUACUACAAAUAAGUGUUUGAAAUAAAGGACACAGUCUGUCUCAAAUACAAAUGUCAACAGCACAUGGAAACUGAAAGAAGAGAAGUUUGAAAUAAAGACAUAGUCAGUCUCGAAUACAAAUAUCAAUAGGACAUGGAAACUAAAAGAAGAGAUGCCGGGCUUGUGGACGCCAGCAAGGCUACCUCAGAGUUUCGUGGACUGAAGGUCUGCUCCCUGACUAUUGUUGCGCACCGUAAGCUGCUCCGACAAAUGGAUCUGUGCAAGAAGAGCACAUAGUGUAGUAUCAGCACAACCGACCCCAUGUGUUGGUUAGUUCCUAGCCUAACCCCGUCGAAGUAGUGACGAGGCUAGACAGGACUAUCACAUAAACCUGUGCAAUUAUAUAUAUAUCCCACCUUUGAUUUGGUUAAACUGUAUUUUAACUGUUCCAGGUGGUUUGUAGUCUAGAUUGUUUGGAUGACUUUUAACUCCUGAAACCCCCUCUUCAUAGAGUAUGUGUUUUGUCGAUUAUGGUCUGACCAUCCCAUGUUGUGGUGGAACUUUUCAUGGAACAUGCUUCGGGGAUAACAAAUAGUACAGAAAUUUAGAAGAACAAUAAGGAACAUCAAUAAAUUAAAUCUAACACGAAUAAGGGAAACAAAAGCAGAUUUCACUAUCAGUAUACAUCUCGUUACAGGCGUGCAACCCGAUCUAAUUUCUCAAUGUUUCCGUGGUAGGCAUAGCACUCGCUAGGCGUACCACCUGCUCCCAUUUCAAUCAAUAUCUCGUGGUAGGCGUCCCGGCCGCUCCCAUUUCAAUCAAUAUCUCGUAGAAGGUGUACCAUUCGCUCCCAGUUCAAUCAAUAUCUCGUGGUAGGCGUAUCACCCGCUCCCAUUUCAAUCAAUAUCUCAAGUCAUAAUAAAAUUUCGGCAAGGAAAACUAAGUAAUAUAAUAAUAACUUUCCGGUAAGGGAAACAAAGCAAUAUAAUAAUAACUUCCCAAUAAGAGAACAAUAAUAUCAAAAUAAUCAUCCUAGCAAGGGAGAAUCAACUAUAACCAAAACCUAGCUUAACUCUUACUGAGCUCGAUUAGAUUCAGUACUCAAGCAAAAAUAAGGUCCACGAGUAUAGACUAAAUCUCUACUCAAUAUCAAGAAUCCUCAAUUUAAAACGUCCGAUGUGUCAUUUAAGAACACAAUAACUAUCAAUUUACGACUCACGAUCAUGCUUGACACCAACGUAUAUAUACUCGUCACCAUGCCUAUACGCCGUACUCAACAAGAAGCAAUUAGCAAGUAAGACUCAACUCCUAGUCCCUCAAUCUAGGGUUAGACCAAACACUUACCUCAAACUUUCACGACCAAUUCAAUCCUCAAUAACCACUUUCCUCACGAAUUCGGCUCCAAAUCAAUCAAAUAUAUUCAUAAAAGACUUCAUAACAUCAAUAAGAGCUAAACAAAUCAAUUCCUAUGUUCAAUGACAAUUUUCCGAUCAUUCUUCCCAAAAUCCCAAAAAUUGACCCCGGUCCCGCUCGGUCAAAAUACGAGGUUCGGACCAAAAUCAAAUCCCCCAUUCACCCAUGAGCCCGAAUAAAUAAUUUAUUUUUACAUUCGACCCCAAAACGAGGUCUAAUCAAGAAAACUCAAAAACCCCUAAUUCUACCCAAAUCCCCCAAUUUCUACCCUUAAUUACAUGUUUUAGGCUUAGGAAUUCAUUAGAUAAUGAUGAAAAAUGAAGGAAACGAAUUAAGGAUUACUAACUCACAAAGUUUUGGUGAAAGAAAGCUUCAAUGAAUGCCCUUCAUGUUCGCAACAGUCAGGUCGCGUUCACAAAGGGUAGAACUUACAGGCCAACCUAAUCGCGGAAAGGGUACCGCGAACACAUAGAAUAAAAAUGCUGGGGAUUCAGAAGUUGAUCUAUACGAACAUGUGAGACUUCAUGCGAACGCAAUGAAAGGAGUUGCAAAGCUAUGCGAUCGCGAAAGGAUGCAUGCGAACGCGAAGAGGAAAAGAGGGCUAAGUCCCCCAGGGCCAGAUAACUCUAUGCGAAUGCGAGGGCAGGGGUGCGGAUGCGAUGAUGGAAAAACUUAGAGCUUCGCGAAUGCAGAAGAGGCGUCGCGUACUCGAAGAACAAACGGACCUGCAACUGCUGAAGCCAAAAUCUGCAAUUUUUUCUAAGUUUGAAACCACCUCGAAACACCUCUGAAACACUCCCGAGCCCUCGAGGCUCCUAACCAAACAUAUGCACUAACUCAACGACAUCCUACGAACUUAAUAGUGUGAUCAAAUCGCUAAAAUAACAUAAAAAACAACGAAUAAAACCUCAAAAUCACUAGUUUUUCUUCAAACUUCAUAAACUUUCAAAUUUAGAGUUUUAAGUCCUAAACACGUCAAACGACGUCCGAUUUCAACCAAACUUUACAGAAAUAUCAUAAAUCACAUAUGAGACCUGUACCUGGCGCCAGAACCAAAAUACGGGCCCGAUACCAACACGUUCUAAUCAAUUUUCCAUUAUAAUUCCAGAAAAAAUAAUUUCACCCAAAAAUUUAUUUCUUGGACUUGGGACCUCGGAAUUCAAUUCUGGGCAUACGCCCGAGUCUAUAUCUUCCUAUAGAUCAUCCAGGACCGUCCAAUUAUGAGUCCGUGUCUGUUUUCCCAAAAUGUUAACCGAAGUCAAUUUUAUUCAUUUUAAUAUAAAAAUUUAGCAUUUUUCAAAAAAAUUUACAUUUAAGCUUUCUGGCUACGCGCCCGGACUACGAACGCAAAUCGAGGCAACUAUAAAUGAGGUUUUCAAGGCCUCAAAAGCAUGGAAUGAAAAAGAAAAUAGAUGAUGACCCUUUGGAUCGUCAUGUUCUCCACCUCUAAAACAACCAUUCGUACUCGAACGGACAGAAGAAGGAAGUACGUAAGUCAGGGAAAGAAGAGGGUAAUGGCUCCACAUAUCGGAUUCGGACUCCCAGGUCGAUACCUCAGGAGGCUGACCUCUCCACCGAAUAGGAACAGAAGGGAAACUCUUGGAUCUCAACUAGUGAAUAUGCUGGUCCAAAAUAGCUACCGGCUCCUCCUCGUCAGACAAGUCCUUGUCUAACUGGACUGUGCUGAAAUCUAACACGCGUUCUGGAUCGCUGUGAUACCUCUGAAGCAUGGACACAUGAAACACUGAAUGCACGGCUGAUAAGCUCAACGGCAAGGCAACUCUAUAAACCACCUCUCCUACUCGAUCGAGAAUCUCAAAUGGACCAAUGAACCUAGGGAUAAGCUUGCCCUUCUUCCCAAAUCUCAUCGCUCCCUUCAUAGGCGACACUCGGAGCAAUACCCGCUCACUAACCAUAAAAGCCACAUCCCUAACCUUGCAAUCUGCAUAGCUCUUCUGCCUAGACUAAGCUGAAUAAAGCCUAUCCUGAAUGAUCCUGACCUUGUCCAAUGCCUCCUAAUGUACCUAACAACCGAUCCUCUCCCGGCUCAAACCAUCCAACCGGAUACCGACACCGCCUACCAUAUAAGUCCUCGUAAGGAUCCAUCUGGAUGCUCGAUUGGUAGCCAUUGUUGUAGGCAAACUUCACUAAGGGCAAAAACUAAUCCCACGAACCUCCAAUGUCAAUAACACAAGCUCAGAGCAUAUCCUCUAAGAUCUGAAUAGUCCGCUCGGAUUGACCGUCCCUCUGGGAUGAAAUGCUGUUCUCAGAUCAACCCGUGUGCCUAACUCUCGCUGAACUUCUAUCCAAAAGCGUGAGGUAAACCGCGUACCUUGGUCCGAAAUGAUAGAUACCAGCACACUAUGAAGGAGAACAAUCUCCCAGAUAUAGAUCUCAGCUAACCUCUCGGAUGAAUAGGAGACUGCCACAAGAAUGAAAUGCACUAACUUGGUCAGUCUGUCAAUAAUGACCCAAACUGCGUCGAAAUUCUUCCGAGUCGGCGGAAGUCUAGUAACAAAAUCUAUAGUGAUCCACUCCUACUUUUGCUCAGGAAGCCUAAUCCUCUAAUAUAAACCACCAAACCUCUAAUGCUCGUACUUAACCUGUUGACAAUUCAAACAACGAGCCACAUAUGUUAUGAUAUCCUUCUUCAUUCUAUGCCACCAAUAAUGCUGCCGAAAAUCCUGAUACAUCUUCGCGGUGCCCGGAUGAAUAGAGUACCGGGAACUAUGGGCCUCCUCUAAAAUCAACUUUCGGAGCCCUUCCACAUUAGGCACACAAACGCACACCUGCAAUCUCAAAACUUCAAGAUCGGAAGAGCUCACGUCUGAACUCCAGUCACGGCUACAUCUCGUAUGCCGUCGUCUGCUUGAACUCUAAAAUAAACUCUCGAAGCCCAUCUACAUUGGGCACACAAACUAGCCCUUGCAAUCUCAAGACUCCAUCAGCAUCUAAUGUAACCUUCUUAGCACCUCCUUGCUGCACCGUAUCUCUAAGGACACACAAAUGGAGAUCAUCAAACUAUUGAUCACGGAUACGCUCCAAUAAUGAAGAACGAGCGACCGUGCAAGCUAAUACGCGACUAGGCUCAAAAAUAUCCAAACUCACAAAUCGAUUGGCCAAAGCCUGAACAUCCAAGCAAGCGGCCUCUAACUGAUAGAAAUUUAAGCAAGACUACGCACACUAGCUGACUUCCUACUCAAAGCAUCAUCCACCAUAUCGGCCUUCCCCGGGUGAUAUAAGAUAAUGAUAUCAUAAUCUUUCAGAAGCUCCAACCACCUCCUCUUCCUCAAAUUCAACUCCUUUUGCUUGAACAAGUACUAAAGACUCUUGUGGUCAGUGAACACCUCACAUGCCACACACAUAUAAUGCUUCCAAAUCUUCAGUGCGUGAACAUUGACUGCCGCCUCCAAAUCAUGCACUCAUGAAUCUUCAACUUCCUCGAAGCAUAGGCAAUGACCUUACCAUCCCGCAUCAACACUACACCUAGACCAAUACCAGAAGCAUCACAAUGAACUGUAUAAGGCCCUGAACCUGUGGGCAAAACCAACACCGGCGCCGUAGUUAAAGCUGUCUUGAGCUUCUGAAAGCUCACCUCACACUCAUCCGACCAUCUGAAUUGGGCACCUUUCUGGGUCAACCUGGUCAUCUAGGCUACAAUAGAUGAAAACCCCUCAGUGAAAGCAUAAUUCACACUUCGAGAACUUAGCAACUGACCCAGAAAUGCAACUGAACUCAACCAGAAUUCACACUUCGAGAACUUAGCAUAUAACCGACUAUCCCUCAAAGUCUGAAGAACCACUCUAAGGUGCUGCUCGUGCUCCUCCUGUCUGCGGGAAUAUAUCAAUAUAUCAUCAAUGAAAACUAUCACAAAUGAAUCCAAAUAAGUCCUGAACACUCGGUUCAUCAAGUCCAUAAAAGCUGCCAGGCAUUUGUCAGCCCGAAUGACAUAACCAAGAACUCAUAAUGCCUGUACAGAGUGUGGAAAGCUGUCUUAGAGACAUCAGAAGCGAUAAUCCUCAACUGAUGGUAUCCAUAUCUCAAGUCAAUCUUGGAAAAUACCUUGGUACCCUGAAGAGGAUCAAACAAAUCAUCAAUCCUAGUAAGCAGAUAUUUAUUCUUGAUUGUUACCUUGUUCAACUACCGGUAAUCAAUACACAUUCUCAUUGAACCAUCCUUUUUCUUAACGAACAACACUGGCGCACCCCAAGGAGAUACACUACCCUUCUCCAGAAAGUCCUGCAACUGAUCCUUUAACUCAUUCAACUCAGGCGGGGUCAUACGAUAUGGCGGGAUAGAAAUGGGUGAGUGCAUGGAGCCACAUCAAUGCAAAAGUCAAUAUCCCACUCGGGCGGCAUACCCGGUAGGUCUGAAGGAAAGAUAUCAGUGAACUUGCGAACAAUGGGCACAGAAUCAAUAGAGGGAACCUCAGCACUGGAAUCACGAACAUAGGCUAAAGGCCAAACACCCCUUCUCGACCAUACGCCGAUCCUUCAUAUGCCAGAUAACACGAUGGGUAGAAUGACCAGGAGUCCCUCUUCACUCUAAAAGAGGCACACCCGAUAAAGCUAAGGUCAUAAUCUUUGCAUGACAAUCCAAGAUAACGUGAUAAGGUGAUAACCAGUCCAUCCCCAAUAUAAUGUCAAAAUCUACCAUGUCUAAAAGCAAUAAAUCUACACGAGUCUCAAGACCACCAAUCACCACAACACAAGAACGAUGGACUCGAUCGACCACGAUAGAAUCACCCACCGGCAUAGACACAUAGACAGGAAUACCCAAUGCAUCACUAGGAAUGACUAAAUUUGUGGCAAAUUAUGAUGACACAUGCAAAUACGUAGACCCCGGAUCAUACAACACUGAAGCAUCUAUAUCACAAACCAGAACCAUACCUAUAAUAACCACGUCUGAAGCCUCUGCCUCAGGCCUGUCCUGAAGAGCAUAACAUCGGGGCUGGGCCCCACCACUCUGGUCUACCUCUCUGGGUUGGCCUGCUGCCGGCUGGCAUCCACCUCUGGCGGUCUGAGCUCUACCUCUAUGACCUCUACCUCCACCUUUAGCACCUCUACCCCUACCUCUAGCUGGCUGGGCGAGAUGUGGAACACUUGGUGCCUGAACCAUGGCAUGAGAACUCUGAUGCUAAGAGCCACCUAGCAUCCGCGAGCAAUACCUAGCAAUGUGCCUCGUGUUGCCAUAAGUAAACAAUCCCUCGCCUGCUAGAGCUGACAAGCCUAGAAAGUCUGAAGCGGUGGUGAAUUGAUAGGAGCUAAUGGUGCACUGUAGGACUGCUGGUCAGAAUACUGCCCACGAAUACCACGAUCACCUGAUACACCAUUGGAAACCUGGAGCGCUGACUGGUAGGGCCUAGGAGGAUGACCCUUAUCAUACGAAUCUCUGCCUCUAGAUGAGGCACCAUUGAAUCGGCCUAACUGACGGGGUCUCUUAUCUGCCCUAUCACCAGCCCCCUGUGACAAUACUAUCUCUAUCCUCCAUGCUACAUUGGCCGCCUCCUGAAAGGAUAUCUCGUUCCUAGUCUUUCUAGCAAUCUGGAGACGAAUAGGCUGAAUCAGUCCAUCAAUAAACCGUCUCACUCUCUCACUCUCAGUGGGGAGUAUAACAAUAGCAUGGCGUGCCAACUCAAUAAACCUGGUUUCAUACUGGGUGACCGUUAUUGAUCCCUGUGGAGACGCUCGAACUGACGCCGAUAGGCCUCUUGUUGUGUAAUAGGGAGCAACUUCUCCAAAAUAUAUGCAUGAACUGCUCCCAGGUCAAUGCUGGAGAUCCAACUGGUCUAGCUAAACAAUAAUCCCUCCACCAAGUCUUGGCAGAUCCAGACAACCGGAAUGUAGCAAAACCAAUCGCAUUGGUCUCCACAAUACCCGUGAUAAACAAUAAUCCCUCCACCAAGUCUUGGCAGAUCCAGACAACCGGAAUGUAGCGAAAUCUACCCCAUUGGUCCCAACAAUACCCAUAUUCCGAAAAACCUCGUAGUAGCUGUCCAAAUAAUCUUGAGGAUCCUUGAUAGAUGCACCGCAGAAGGUAGUAGUAAAAAUCUUGGUGAACCUAUCCAAUCUCCAUAAAGUAUCGGCAGACAUAGCUGCUCCAUCACCGGCCUGGGCUACCACACCCGGCUGAGCUACUCCAACUAGCUGAAUUGCUAGAGUAUGAAUCUGGGGAGCUACCUACUCCGGAGUACGAGUAGCAAGAGUUUGGGCCCCCUCAUCCAGCCUGAGAGACGACUGGUGCUACAGGAAGCAAACUUGCUCGGGUGACACUUUCCAUAAGAUCCACCAAUCGGACCAGAGCAUCCUGAAGAACUGGGGUAGAAAUAAACCCCUCUUGGACCUGAGCUAGGCCCAGCGGAACUGCUAAGGAUUACUAACCCACGAAGUUUUGGUGAAAGAAAGCUUCAAUGGAUGCCUAAGGACCUUGGAGAAGAAAGAGCUCGUGAAAACUUGUGAAAAAUCCUGUAGCUACUGUUCUAGAAUUAAAAAUUUUAACUGGGCAAAAUUGCCCUUCGCGUUCGCGACAGCAUGUCGCGUUCGCGAAGGGUAGAACUUACAGGUCAUCGUGAUCGCGGAAAGGGUAUUGCGAACGCAUAGAAUAAGAAUGCGGGGUUUCAGAAGUUGCUCGAUGCGAACACGUGAAACUUCACGCGAACGCGAUGAAAGGAGUUGCAAAGUUACGCGAUCGCGAAAGGAUGUAUGCGAACACGAAGAGGAAAAGAGGGAUAAGUCCCCCAGGGCCAGAUAACUCUAUGCAAAUGCGAGAGUAGGGGUGCGAAUGCAAUGAAGGAAAAACUUAGAGCUUCCCGAACGCGGAAGAGGCGUCGCGAAUGUGAAGAACAAAUGAACCUGCAACUGCUGAAGCCAAAAUCUGCAAUUUUCCUAACUUUGAAACCACCCCGAAACACCUCUGAAACACUCCCGAGCCCUCGGGGCUCCUAACCAAAUAGAUGCACUAACUCAACAACAUCCUACGAACUUAAUCGUGCGAUCAAACCACCAAAAUAACAUAAAAAAUAAUGAAUCAAACCUCAAAAUCACUAAUUUUUCUUCAAACUUCAUAAACUUUCAAAUUUAGAGUUUUAAGUCAGAAACACAUCAAGCGAUGUCCGAUUUCAACCAAACUUUACUGAAAUAUCUUAAAUCACAUAUGAGACCUGUACCGAGCACCGAAACCAAAAUAUGGGCCCGAUACCAACACGUUCUAAUCAAUUUUCAUUUCAAUUUUCCAUAAUAAUUCCAGAAAAAAUAAUUUUACUUAAAAAUUUAUUUCUUGGGCUUGGGACCUUGGAAUUCAAUUCCGAGCAUAUGCUCGUGUCCCAUAUCUUCAUACUCACCCCCUAGGACCGUCCAAUCACGGGAUCGGGUUUGUUUGCCCAAAAUAUUGACUGAAGUUAAAUUUAUUUAUUUUAAUAUAAAAAAUUUAGCAUUUUUCACAAAAUUUCAUAUUUAAGCUUUCCGGCUACGCACCCGGACUGCGCACGCAAAUUGUGACGACUAUAAAUGAGGUUUUCAAGGCCUCGAAAGCACGGAAUGGAUAAGAAAACAGAUACCCUUUGGGUCGUCACAUAUAAUUGAAUUUGUUGAGUUAUAUUAGGAGUCUAUUAUGUUAAUUGAUGUACUUUUCGUUUUAAAAACAAUGUAAUCCUCUAUUUCACGCCGUGAAUACAGUCGAAUACAAUAAUCUGUCCAGUUGUAAUCCCAUGUUUCACUCUAUGAAUACAGUCGAAUACACUCGAAUACAACAACUGAUUAGCUGGACUUCCCUGAUUUUCGCCUAUUUUUGCUAUUGUAUUCAUGAAUACAAUAGCUUAAAUACAUCGAAUACAUCUUAUAACAAAAGAAAAUGUAUCUAUAAUCCGUAAUAUAGCAAAUGAUGUCUAUAAAUGGCUAAUUACUACUAAAAGAUAGUGCUUUAUCAAAAUUUCUAUAAAAGAAAAUAGUUGAUCACCCAUAUUAUCAACUAAAUAUGGACUGGAUAAUGAACUUUCUGAAAACGGGUCAAAUGUAGAUAAAAACCAUAUUAUCAAUUUAGAAAAUGGAUAACCAAUAUGUCUAACUUUUAUAUUUGUAAAGCCUCAAAUUGGGGGUUUCUCAAGUUAGGGAGACUAAUAAUUCUUCCAAAAGUGAUCAUAUGCAAGAAGUCAUGGAUAAUAUAGGUCGGGCGGGAUAAUUUAUUUGUUUUUUAUUAUCCGUUUUCGAUCCGAACAAUAUCCGCUCCGACCCGCACGCUUGCCACUUGUACCUACAAAGGAGCAUAGCAUAGGAGACACAUGAAAAAAACAUAUACAGUUUAAAAUGUUAAUGAAACAAAUAUAUUUAGAACAACAACAACAACAGAUUCAGUAUAAUCCCACAAGUGAGGUAUGGGGAGAGUAGUAUGCAGGCCGGAGCUCGCCCUUCGGCUACAGGUUCGAUCGAACCCAGUAGCUUUAGUCCAAACCUUAUAUUUUGUCUUAAAAAAUUAUUUAACAUGCACAAACUAUUAAGUUAGAUCCAAUAACUUAAAAAAACUAGAAUUUUGAAUUCAUAAACUUUAAAUCCUAACCCCACCUCUGAUAGUAUGUACACAUAUGUUACUUUUACCUUCAUAAAGACAAAAAAAUUGUUUUCGAUGGACAGUCAGCUUAGAAAAGAAUCUAAAACGACAGACAAAUGGUUUUAAUCAUUACUAAUAACAAUGAAGGAAUACAUUUUAACAUGUUAGUCAAAGUUUAUUUAAUUUGAAUUUGAUUGAGCAAAAAGUGACAAAUAUAUUGGAACAUAAUAGCUGUGAUAGACCUAUUAAUCCAAGUGAAGCCAUUGCUUUCCUUUUUAUAUUGUCCACCUUUAUAUUCUUCAAGGAGCGGUCUCACGAUAUCAAUUCAAAUAACCUCCCAGCUAUGGAAGGAGUAAUACGUUACUGUCUUUCAAACUUUAAGGACCUAUUUAUAAUUUUCAAGAACUAUGGGGUGCAGACAGUGUUUCCCCUUACUUAAUAGUGGGUACAAAGUGUGUAACUUUUCAGGAAGAGGCUUCAGAGGAUCCUCUUGCAGGCAGCAAUGGAAGCUGAGAAGAGGGUUGCGUCCAACAAGAAAGCCGAAAAUAACAGAGACAAGAAGGUGACAAGAAAAGAGGUAACAUGGAUAACGUUUGCCCAUUUUUCCCAAAUACAUCAAUUUUUGAAAGCCUAAAAAAUACAAAGCAGUUUAUUAACAGUUCAACAUACUCUUUUUUGUUUUAUGAAGGCAGAUACUGGAAAAGAAGAAGAAAGUGCAAGAGAUAAUCAAAGCUGCUCUUUCUGAGGAAGAGCCUCUUUCUUCCUUUCCAUCUUUUCACCAUUACAGCACAAAGGGUUCGCAUUUUUUGUAUUUUAAUUAUAUCUAUUGAUACUGUAUUAUUUUGGCGAAUUGAGAAUGUCAUAAUUCCCUAUUAAAUGCUUUCUGUUUUUUCUUUUUCUUUCUUUUUGGUUAAAUUUAUUUAUUUUAAUAUAAAAAAUUUAGCAUUUUUCACAAAAUUUCAUAUUUAAGCUUUCCGGCUACGCACCCGGACUGCGCACGCAAAUUGUGACGACUAUAAAUGAGGUUUUCAAGGCCUCGAAAGCACGGAAUGGAUAAGAAAACAGAUACCCUUUGGGUCGUCACAUAUAAUUGAAUUUGUUGAGUUAUAUUAGGAGUCUAUUAUGUUGUUGUUGUUAUUAAUGAUGUUUAAGUGAGUAUGUAUUUCCACAUGAUACUAAUCUAAGAAACAUAAUUUUUUUGAAUGUUUAUGAACUUAUAUUUGCACUCUAUGCAUAUAGUAUCAUCAAAUAUGAUAAAAAUUUUGUGAAAAAUAAUGAUUUUCAUGUAUUAAAUAAAGUUUUUUAAAUUUAUAAUUCUUGAUCAAGGAGAAUAUUAACAUAAGCUAACCUAAAUCAAUGCUUAUAUUAAAACUAUAUUAAUUUUAGCUUGAUGUAAACACGAGGUGCAAGUAAGUCUUUUUUCAGGUUGGGGUGUGUGUUUUUCUGAUUUGUAGUGAAGUGAAGGUAGUGAAAAUCUCAUCUUUCUGAAAGAGGGCAACAAGAGCCUUUUACCCUUUUCGAGAAUUAAGUUAUCCUUCUUCGCAUAAAGGGAAUAACUUUAGUCAUUAGGUGAUAGCUUAUGGUCUUUCUCUAGCUAUACAGUUUCUGACUUAUUUUUUUGCAUAUUUUCAUUGGCCAGGAAAACUAUGUUAUCAUAGUCUGUUAUAGUUGUUUACUGUUAUACUCUAGUCAAUUUUCGUAUUUAUAAUUUUGAUCACUAGAUUUGUCUGUGUACUUGGACUCUGGACGCGGGGAUAACCUGUCUUCUUCAGUAAAGCAGUAUAUUCAAAACCUCCUCAAGGUAUCAAACUUGGCUAUCUUAUUAUAUUUGAGUUUAGCUACAACAACAAAUCAGUGAUGAUAGGGAUAUUUCCUCUUUUCUGAAGGUAUAUGCCUUUUACAGGUGAAUAUGGAGGCGGCAUAUGGAACAGAAUGGCCUAAAGAAGAGAAAGUAAAGCGCAGGGAGAUGGUUUCUUCUGAAGCUCGUUAUAUAUUUGUCUAUGAAACCGUAAAUGCGGAUGCCAACAUUAUGUUCAAAUUAUCAAAGAAAGGAAGGAGUAAUGCAGAUGGUACGGAUGAUAAGGGUCAUCUUGUGGCUUUUGUACAUUAUCGCUUCACCAUCGAGGAAGAAAUUCCUGUUCUUUAUGUGUAUGAAUUACAGCUUGAGCAUCGUGUUCAGGGGAAGGGACUGGGAAAGUACUUAAUGUUGCUAAUUGAGCUGAUUGCUCAGAAGGUGAUGGACUUAUCUUUCCUCAUUCCCAUGUAUUGUAAAUGUUUGUUGUUUCAGUUGAUUCCUAAAUUAUGGAGGUGGAGAAGCUAGUACUAUAUCAAUAUGAAAAUACUAAGUAACAGCACUGCUGAAAAUUUCUGCAGUAUGUUUCUUCAGUCAUGGAGAUGCUUGUCUUGCAGUAGAGUGGACAUUUUCAAGUGCUAAUGAAAACUAUCACUUUGCAGAGCAAAAUGAGUGCUGUGGUGCUAACUGUUCAGAAGGCAAACAUGACAGCAAUGAGCUUUUAUAGGAAUAAGCUAAGGUGAUGUAUUAAUAUGUUAGAUUAUCAUUUUAUUUCCAUUUAGCAGAUGCCAUUUACAUGAUGAUGGUAUUGAAAUAUCAAUAUAUGAAGCAACAAAAUUAUAAUAACCUUAGGUAGCUACACUUUGAGUAUAAGUAAAUCAUACUUUUUACUUUUAUAGAAAACUAUAGUAUUCGUCCUCUUUCUUUAUGCGUCGCUGCAUGUACCAAUAACCAAAAUCAAUAACUGUCAUCUGGAAUCAAUAGUUAUCAUUUAGUGGUUCCAUAUGUAAGAUUCUUCAAAAGAUAUAUCCUCUUUAAUCGAACUAAGCCUGUCAUAUCUUGGCAUAAGAUGGGGGAUAUCAUGCUAAAGGGGAUGAUGCUAACAGAAAAGUUGUUGAAGUUUCAGGAGAUUUCUGUGUCUUUGAGUCUUGCUUGUUGGAAUGAAAAUAUAAAAAUACAACAAAAUUAUUUUAUGGUUAACAAUUCCAAACUGAUGUAUUGGACUUGCUUAUAUGUGUUUUGGAUGAAUAAACAAGUCAAAUAUACCAAUGGCCUGUUACAUAAUCUAUUCCAGUUUCUCUUCCUGUCUUUAUUAGAUAACAGAUGCUUAUCUCUAACCUGAAAUAUAUCAAUGGCCUUUUACCAUAACUCGUGUACGUCAAUAUUCUGCAGGUACCUGAUAUCUACCAUGUCACCUUCACAGGUAGAUCGACUGUCUGCGAUAAUUCAGUUUUUAUCACAAUUUGCUUAACCUUUACAUUCUUUUUGUUUGGUACUGCAGAUGGGGUUACAGUCAAAUUAUGAGAUUCUUUGCAAGUCAUUUGAUUAUGAAGCUAAAGCUGUAUUAGAGGUGUGCAAUCCCUUUUUCCUUGUAUUAAAUAUCAAUCCAAAGAGGACUCAAAUAAGAUUUGACAUCUCAUAUGCACUCAAAAUUCUCCAAGAACUCAUGCAUUUUACUGUAUCAAAUGGUAAUGCAUAUAUUCUAUUGUAGGAGUGUUGUGCCAAAAUUUUCUAAAAUGUUAUAUAACACUCAUGUGGAUUAAAUCUGAAUACAUGUAAAACUACUGAAUGACCCAGAUGAAAUUUCUCAAAUGGAACAAACUACAGCCUAUGUUAUGGACAAGGUUCCAGUUCUAUAAUUUCUUUUCGGUUCAAUGAUCGAAUUUUUUCUUUUUCUCUCUUGGUGAUGUUGUUAUGUCAUAUGUGUGCCCACUGGUCCAUUUCCAUGAAAUGCACAGUGUUCUCUUGUUAGAUAGAUGAAGUGCACAAUCAUUUAGGAUUAUAGGUGUAUUCUCCUGACAAAUUAUCUU